rnacentral:lncRNA from 1 species
UUUUUUGGUUAGGUGUGGAAUUAUAUUUCAAGUUACGACUUGUAUAUGGAUCUAGAUCAUAUAUACCCAACUUAUUAAUUCUACCAGUAAAGCAUCAACCCCCAUUAACAAUUCGUACUGGGUGAUGAUAUCCACACUCAUUUUUACAUCUCACGCACUCUUUGUUAAUUAAUAUUCUUUGAUCUUCUCUAGUUUAUUUGACCCAAUAACCAAAAUUAAAAAUGGUGUGUGGAAGAUAAAAAGGAGUGUGUAGAUAGCACCACUUUUGGAGUAGCUUUAACUUAGAUGCCAAUCGACUGGUCAGGUAAGAAGGCACCUCAGAUAUUCUAUGGGCAGCAACAAUAUUUGUAUCUGAAACAAGAAGAACGUCAUCCGAAUAGUUCAAAUUUGGAAGUUCUAGGAUUCUAACUUCUAUAUAUGAUAAUUUGAAGUAGAAUCACAUUCUUUCUCUUCGUACAAGUUUUGCUAUGAUAAAUAAAACGAACGAUUCUUUUACACAAAAGAUUCGACCUUCUUUUUGGUUGAAAUAUUCGACCUUAUUCUCUGUCAAAUUCUUAAUGGAUGAGAAAAAGAAAUAUAAUUUUAACGAAAAGCUCCCAAUACCAUUUAUUAUAACGAAAAACCAUAUUUUUACACUAAAAAGUCAAUCCUGGUACUAUUCAUUUUACCCUUUAUUUUGUCUUUAUCGUUAAAACUCAAAGUUUCCAAACCCUUUUCAUUAGUUUUCCUAAAAAGAAAAAGGCUGCCUAUUUAAAUAAGGAAGUUUUAACGAAACACUUAUGGUACUGUUCACAUUUAACGAAAACGACAUUUUUACUCUAAAAAACCAUUCCUGUUACUAUUCACUUACAAUACCUAUUUGUUAUUUUGAUUAAAACUCAAAGUUUUUAAACCAUUUUCAUUAGUUUUCCUUUUAAAUAAUGGGUUACCCUACUCUUGUUAAUUCUCGAGUGCUCAAAGUUUAUCUUCAAAAUAAAACUUUGACAAUAUACUGAGACAGUAAUCAAGGCUCUCAUGCAUGUAUUGAAAUUUACUAAGACAAUCUCCAAAGGAGAUGUCAAAUCCUAAAUGUAAAGUCAUGUAAUCAAAUUUGAAAGCAGGAGCAAAGACCAACCGAUAUGUCAAUCCUAAGUGAAAAGGUAAUGUCAAAUAAUUUUUAAUUAUUUUAUUAUAUGGAUCCCAUUAAUGCACCAAUUAUAAAUCUUGAAAAUUUAUUUUAAUUGUUGUAGGCCUAUUUAAUUGAGCGAUCUAAGGUUUAGAGAGAGAAAGGGAGGCCAACCACUUUAGAGAGAAGAGAGAUUGAUUUAAUUGUGAUGUGUGUUUGAUUCACCCCAUUGUGCCUUUAUUUAUAGUAGUUAGAAGGGUAAAUACCUUUCCCUUUAUGAUUACAACAUUUAAUAGGUAAUCAAAUCCUAAUAGGAAUAUAAUAGUUUCCCAUAUUCUCUAGAAUUUACACAAUCACAUUCCUAUUCUAAAUAGAACUGCAACACUCUCCCUUGAGUGUGUAAAUACUCAACAAACCAUCGCAUCAGAUCUUCAGCAGAGAAGGUAGAAUAGUUGAUGAAGUCAUCGGCACAACGGGUCAUCGCGAGUCUCAAAUUUAAUUUGAAGUAUGCAUUUGUAAAAACUCACAAAACCUUGCUAUGGUAAAACCCAUAGACUAAGGAGAAAAGUAAGAAAAUAUGCAUAAUGUCUAAAACAAUCGUCAAACUGGACGAAUGUAGUGAACUCAACGGAGUAUGAUCAUCCCAGAAUGGGUGCCUCGUUAAAACCUAGUUAGGUAGCAAAAACCCAAUGGGAAAAAUAAGAGAACUACAAGUGAUUUAAUUAUGAUAAUUUACGCAUACCGAUUCCUUGGACGAGCUUCUGAAAUGUAGACUUGGGCAAUGACUUGGUGAAGAGAUCGGCCAGGUUGUCUUGGGAACGGAUUUGCUUGACUUCAAUGUUUUGAUGCUGUUGCUGCUGGUGUGAGUAAAAGAACUUUGGCGCUAUGUGCUUGGUGUUGUCUCCCUUGAUGUAUCCCUUCUUUAACUGCUCGAUACAUGCUGCAUUGUCUUCAAAGAUCGUCGUAGGAAGGUCAACGACUAAUGUAAGACCAUUAGUGCUUCGAAUGUGUCCCAUCACUUUUCUCAGCCAAAAGCAUUCACGCGAUGCUUCAUGUAGGGCGAGAAUCUCAGCAUGGUUAGACGAAGUCGUAACUAGCGUUUGCUUGGUAGACCUCCAAGAAAUAGCGGUGUUUCCAACAGUAAAGACAUAACCCGUUUGAGAACGUGCUCUAUGUGGGUCAGACAGAUAUCCAGCAUUUGCGUAACCAACAAGGCGAGAAUCAAUCCUAGAUCCAUAGGGGGCGACAACACUAAGAGAUUUGUGGGUAUAGAACAAGCCCAAAUCCGUAGUACCCUUGAGGUAGCGGAAAAUGUCUUUGACACCAUUCCAGUGCCUGCGUGUAGGCGCAUUGCUGUAUCUAGCCAAUAGAUUCACAGCGAAGGAGAUGUCGGGUCUAGUGCACUGAGCCAAGUACAAUAAAGCACCAAUUGCACUUAGGUAAGGAACUUCGGGUUCCAAAAUCUCUUCUUCAUCCUCCUUUGGACGGAAGGGAUCCCGUUUAGCAUCUAGAGUCCGAACGAUCAUGGGUGUGCUCAAAGGCUUAGCUUUAUCCUCAUUAAAGCGACGUAACACCUUUUGGGUGUAGUUCGAUUGAUGUACUAAGAUUCCAUUUGAACAAUGCUCGAUCUCAAGGCCGAGGCAAUAUCGAGUUUUCCCAAGAUCCUUCAUCUUAAAUUUCGAUUUCAAGUGUGCAGCAAUUUCCUUAAGCUCUUCGGGAGUACCAAUGAGGUUCAUGUCAUCGACAUAAACUGCAACAAUUGCAAAUCCGGAAUGUGACUUUUUUAUGAACACGCAUGGGCAUAGUUCGUUGUUCACAUAGCCCUAACUUGUCAAAUAUUCACUCAGACGGUUAUACCAUAUCCGCCCGGAUUGUUUCAAUUUGUAGAGUGACCUCUUCAACCUAAUUGAGAGAGUGUUCCGUGGUCUAGAACUAUUUGAACCAGUCAAUGGAAGUCCUUCUGGAACUUUCAUGUAUAUUUCCGUAUCUAGAUCCCUAUAGAGAUACGCGGUUACCACGUCCAUAAGCUGCAUAUUCAGUUUUUCGGAAACUACCAAACUGAUAAGGUAGCGGAACGUUAUAAUGUCCAUUACGGGGGAAUAUGUCUCCUCGUAAUCAAUUCCAGGGUGUUGAGAAAAGCCUUGCGCUACGAGGUGUGCUUUGUAUCGCACUAUUUCAUUCUUCUCAUUACGCUUCCUCACGAAAACCCAUUUGUAGCCAACAAGCUUCACGAGUGGUGGUGUAGGGACGACAGGUCCAAACACUUUACGUUUCACGAGCGAAUCAAGUUUGACCUAGAUUGCUUGUUUCCAGUUUGACCAAUCGGUUCUACGUCAACAUUCAUCGACGAAACGUGGUUCAAUGUCAUCGCUAAGCAUGAUGUCAGUAGCUACUGAGUACGAGAAUGCGUCGUCGACGAUUAUCUCAUUCCUAUUCCAAACCUCAUCCAAUACUGUGUAAUGGACCAAAAUUUCGCGAUUCUCAGGAGGCCGGCAUGUUUCAUCUGAAGCAUCACCGUAAUCUAGAAUAACUUCAUGCGUUGGAACGGAUGAGUCAGCGAUGGUCGGAUUCAAACUAGGGUCACUAGUUAGUGCCAUUUUCCUCUUCCGGGGUUAUGAAUCCUUUGAACCAGAGGGUCUACCACGCUUCAGGGUCAGAGCAGAUGAUUUGCUAGUUGCUAAUGUACCAUGCCGUGUGGAGGGUGUGGCUUUCCCACCUUCGGGGACGGCUUGGCCUUCCCAGACGGGCUGUUGAUGUACACAGGGUACAUCUAUCCUUGCUGGUGUGUUUGCAGCAGGUAUAUGUGAUAUUGUCACCUUUGCUAGAUCUUUAAAAGCAUCCGGCAUGCUUUGACCAAUGCUCUAAAGAUCUAUAAUUCGUCGCACCUCAGUUUCAGACUGAGCAGUGCGGGGAUCUAAAUGAGACAUAGUGGGAGCAUACCACGAUAAUUCGUGGCGUUCUACAGGAACGUUAGCAUGCUUAUCUCCCCCUAACGACGGGAAGACUGUCUCAUCAAAGUGACAAUCUGCAAAACGUGCGGUAAAGAGAUCUCAUGUCAAGGGUUCAAGUAUUGAACAAUUGAUGGCGAAUCAUAACUGACAUAGAUUCCCAUUUUUCUUUGAGGACCCAUUUUGGUACGUAGCGGCGGUGCUAUUGGCACAUAAAUGGCGCACCCAAACACCUGUAAAUGCGAGAUGUCAUGCUCGUAUCCAGUGACCAACUGUAAUGGUGAAUGUGGUUGGGUAGCAAUGGGCCUCAGGCGGACCAACAUAGCUGCAUGCAAUAUUGCAUAGCCCUAGGCAGAUACCGGCAGUUUGGUUCUCAUAACCAAAGGCCGAGCUAUCAAUUGAAGGCGCUUUAUGAAAGCUUCUGCCAUGCCGUUUUGGGUGUGAACAUGGGGCACAAGAUGUUCUACAUUAAUCCCUACUGACAUGCAAUAAUUGUCAAAAGUCUAUGACGUAAACUCUCCAGCAUUAUCCAGUCGAAUCGACUUAAUCGGAUAAUCAGGGUGGUGAUCCCUUAGCUUAAUGAUUUGAGCUAGGAGUUUAGCAAACGAGGCAUUGCGUGUGGACAACAAGCAAACAUGUGACCAUCUUGUCGAUGCAUCAACCAACACCAUAAAGUAUCUAAAUGGUCCGCAGGUUGGUUGGAUAGGUCCACAAAUGUCCCCUUGAAUCCUUUGAAGAAAUUUAGGAGGGUUUUGAUUAAUCUUUGUAUGGUAGGGUUGAGUAUUCAACUUCUCUAAAGAACACGCUAUGCAUGGCGGGACUCCAACGUGUGGAUGUAACUUAUGCACGUGUGAAGAUUUAAGGAUACGGCGCAUCAUGUCACGUCCAGGAUGUCCCAAACGGUCAUGCCAAAGCAACAAAGUGUCCUGGAACUCAGGCAUAGAGCCGGCCACACUGUGGGCCUCUAUGCUGCGAAUGGUUGUGAUGUACAACCCACUCGGCAGACUUUCCAACUUCUCGUGAAUAUGCUUUUGGCCAUAUUCGUAUGAAGUGAUACAAAGAAAUUCAGAACCAUGAUCUUCAGUGGUUUCAAGAUGAUAUUUAUUAUCUCGAAUAUCUCUAAAACUCAGCAACGUUCUUCCUGAACGUGGAGAAUAGAGUGCCUCCUUAAUGGUCAAGAUUGUACCAUUAGACAACAUGAUACGUGCCUUUCCGUAUCUUUCAAUCAGUUGGAUGAGCCUGAGAGAGUUGUCAAAUGAGCUUUCUUGGGUAUGAAGUUAGUAAAAUAGUGUCGUUCACGCAAAAUGGUGUGCGUUGUUGCACUAUCUGCCAGACAACUAACUUCCCCACUAGACAUACCUAGAAAUAAAUUGAUUGAAUUGGUCACAUGCAUAAAUAUAAGUCCACUCAUUCAAUUAAGCAAUUCGAGAAAAUAAUAUCCAUUCCAAUAACAAUCCAUAAUUCAAAACAAACCAAAACCAAACAAAUGAUUCCAAAUACAUAGAAAAAUUGUUCAAAAUUAAACCAUAAACCUAGCAAAAUAGGGGGUAGGGGCCGGCCACUCCUAGUGGGUUCGGCCACUAGGGGCUAAUGCCCUAAAACAUGUCUAAUUUAGUCUUCCAUAGGUGCUGAUGCCUCCUGGAAGUCUGAUAUCUCCAUUGAUGUGGUUGCAUCGUCCGGACGAUCCACAUGUGCAAAGUUAGAUUCACGACGAGAAUGAUACUUGGCAAUAGCCUCAGGGGAAGCUUGGCAUACGCGUGACCAAUGAUCCUUUGAUCCACAGUGAUAGCACAUAUUCAAUUCAUUAGAAGUGGCCUGAACGGGAGCUUUGCCCUUGUUCUUGAAGUUUGGGACCUUAGGUACGAGUGGUGGACGCUGCUGGGUUGUAAUUCUUCCCUUAGGUGCGGCACUCUGUUGACCUUGGGCCCGUGGUUGGGCUUGCCGCCCAUUUCCACGGCCACGACGGUUCUUUCGUUGUUUAUGGCUGCUAAAAUUGGUCGCAUACGCUUCAGGCGCAGCGUUUGAGCCAGUAGGUCGAGCUUGAUGAUUCCUCAUCAAAAACUGGUUCUGCUUUUCAACAAGAAGUAAAACAAAGAUCAUAUCCGAAAACUUGGUGAAUUUCUAUGCCCUAUAUUGUUGCUGCAGGAUAAUAUUGGUGGCAUGGAAGGUCGAAUAGGUAUUCUCCAUGAGAUCUGAUUCAGUUAGUUCCACUUUGCAGAAUUUCGACAAAGAACGGAUUCUACAAACUUCAGAGUUGUAUUCAUUCACGGACUUAAAAUCUUGGAAGCGAAGAUGCUGCCAGUCGUGUCUUGUUUUAGGCAAGUAUAUGUCUUUCUGGUGAUCAAAACGGUCAGCCAGAGCAAGCCAGAGGGUGCGUGGGUCUUCCUCAGCGAGAUACUCAGUCUGCAAUGCAUUAUAGAUGUGUCUUCGAAUGAAGAUCAUUGCAGUAGCCUUCUGAGCUUCGUCGACAGGUUUGUCGGCAAUACAUGUCUCAAUGGUGGCUCUAAUACCCUUUGCAGUGAAAUGAAGCUUCACGUCUUGAACCCACUUUAGAUAGUUUCUUCCAGAGACUUCGAGAGUGGAGAAAUCAAGCUUGUUCAAGUUUGACAUGUCCCUAAAACAGAGGGAAAAACGUGAUUAGUCAUAUGGUAAGCCAUAGACAUAUAUCGUAGAACAUACAUGUUCUAUAGACAUGUAUUAGUUUAAUUUAUGCAUGAAAACUUCAGGUUUCAUGUGGUAUGUUUUGAAUGAAAACUUCAGGUUUCAAAGGCACUAAUUUUGAAACUACAGGUUCAAAUUAGUUUUAUGAACGAUUAGUUCAUAAUGAAAGGUUCCCGCAAGAAACACAGAAUGCAAUAUACUAACUAAGUGCAGUGGAUUUGAGUUGGCUUCGGGAACUUAAGUGUGAGAGCUUCGGUACUACGAAAGUAUGUGACGGUUCAAAGUAUAAAAAAAAAAUUAUUGAAUCGUUAAUGUCCAAAAGUGAUCUUCAGGUCAAUAAUUUUGGAUUCAUUAUCAGAUUAGUGGACUGCAGGUCACUUUUAAUUAAUUCAAUAAAUCGGGCCAUACAAGGUCGAUUGUAGAAGCAAAUAAUAUUAUCAUACUGGUUAAAUUAUUUAAAAUGCUAAAAUAAUAGCUUGGGUGGAAAAUGCCCCAAAAUAAUUUGGGCAUGGGUGCCGUGGGUAAGGGAAGGCACGGGGUGCCUUGAGUAAAAAAGGCAGGGCCUAACAGGGCCUAGGAUAUGGCUGCAGGCCACGGGAGGGACAAAACCCCCAGCCGUAGCUGGUUUAGGUGUUUUGGUCCAAGGGGUCACGGGGGCAAGCCCAAGGCUUGCAGGUUGCUCACGCAGGGAGCCCAGCGAAGCUGGGGCCUUGAUUUUGUGGCGCAAGAGGCCCAACCCAAGGGCUGGCUUUAUGUGCCUUGUGUGCAUAAGGCGCCCAGUCGAGGGCUGGCAGGUUUUUUAUGCAGGCCGAGAGAGGCCAUGGACUGCAGGCCCAGCAAAGAAACCAAAAUCAGGCCGAAGCCUGUUUUCCUUUUUGACACAGGGAUGGUGCGAUGCACCAAAUCCCAUUCCCCCAUUUUUUUUUUCAAUUCCCUUUAGGUUUUAGGAAAAACCUAAUAUGCUUCUAAUUUAAUUUUAUACAUUGACUCACAAUUUCUACAUAACAAUUUAAUUGUGCGAUGCAUGAAACAAAUAUAUAGUGACAAAUAUAUGAACAUAUACAAUAUAUAUAUCGGGAGGAAAAUAUAAACAUAAGGGGUUCAUGCAUCAUGGGGAAUGUUUUCAUGCUUCAUGGGUCGUUUCAAAUAUCUUCCUUUAUUUUAAGCGUACCUGAGUAGCAGAAAACGAAUAAGCCUUUGAAUGUGGUGGAUGAUAGUCUCCUCCUACGAUGCUUUAGUUCCUCAGCUUCUGGCAAGAGCGUGCUGAUAACGUGUUGUAGGCCUAUUUAAUUGAGCGAUAUAAGGUUUAGAGAGAGAGAGGGAGACCGUCCACUAUAGAGAGAAGAGAGAUUGAUUUAAUUGUGAGGUGUGUUUGAUUCACCCCAUUGUGCCUUUAUUUAUAGUAGUUGGAAGGGUAAAUACCUUUCCCUUUUAUGAUUACAACAUUUAAUAGGUAAUCAAAUCCUAAUAGGAAUAUAUAAUACUUUCGCAUAUUCUCUAGGAUUUACACAAUCACAUUCCUAUUCUAUAUAGAACUGCAACAUUAAUUGAUUUCUUUUUAAAAUGGAUGAAACAAAUAUAAUUUAUAACAAAAAAAAUAUAUCAGUUGGAAAAAAAAAAUCUGACAUUGUCACGUCCGCCAUCAAAUUAACAUUUGACAUUUAUCUUUUGAUAUCUCCAUUGGAGAUGCUCUAAGAGUCUCAUGGGUAUUGGAGCCAUCAAAUACAUUUAAUCAAGUUUUAGAGCAACACAAGUAAUUAAGUAGUCAUUUAACAACAUUUUAAAUAGUUUUAGGGAGUCUAAAAGUCCAAUUCGGAAUUGGUUUUUUUCUUUUUCUUUUUGGAACAAGUGAUAUUAUCUACAUUGAGGGGAGGGGUGGGCUUAGCCUCACAAUGAGUUAGCAAUAAUAUGGUUCAAACUCACCCUUGGCGAAAAUCGAACAUAAGACCUCUCACUUAUAAGUGAAGAGGAAUACGACUAGACCAUAGUACUAAGUGGCAAUUGGGUUUUAUUUGUGUUUGUACUCUUUAUAAAUACCAGCCAUUGAUAGACUUGAAUGAAUUAAAAUAUAUUUGCAUUGUGCAAUUGAAGUGAGUGUUUCCUCAUUCUCUAAAAUCAAGCAUUUGGCUUGGUUGUGUGAGUGAAUCCACGAUUAGCAACGUCGAGCGAAUUUUGUUGCCACUGGUCUAGUGAUUCCCAGGUUCUAUCCCUCGUCUCUUUGAGACCCUUGGUGCUUUCUCCUACGUCAAGUGGCAUCAAAGCAAGUUUUCCGUUGCGUUAGAUCAUGGGUAAUAUUUUCUAUUCAUUUGAAUAUCAAAUAGUAGAAGAGAUUAGUUUGGUAGAUUGGAAUUCUCCGUCAAUUUACGAUGAUUAUGUUGAUGAUGAUUCAUUAAGCUCCAGUGCACAUUCUUCGGUGGUGACUAUGGAACGUCUUGUAAGGGCGUUAGAAGAUGCAUAAUUCACAUUGAACUUUGAUCUUUUGGGGGGGGGGGGGGCUUGUUUUUCUUAGUGCUCAGAAAAAAGCUUAGUCCAUACCAUGCUGAAUGGGCGACUUACAAAAAUUUUGGUGGAAGAGAAGUAAGGUUUUCAUCUCAAGAAUCUUUGAAAGAAGAUACUAUUUAUGAAUACAUUGAUUUUAUUGGUUUCGAUAUUUUUAAUUGGAAGACUUCUCAAGUUUUGGUUGAUUUAGUCAAUCAAAUGAAGAUUGAUAUAAGUUGGAUUGCAAGAUUUGUCAUGGAGCAUGAACUUACCAUUUCAAGAAUAAGGAAAUAUUCCAAGUAUUUAUUCGUAGGCAAAAAUCAAUUUCAAGAUUACAACGGAGUAAAUGAAGAUUUAAACUCAAGGGGGUUAAACUCAAGGGUGAGUUUCUUCGGAGAAGAUGAGAAUGAUGCAGUAAUCAAGGCUCUAAUGCAUGUAUUGAAAUUUACUAAGAGUCUCAUGGGUAUUGGAACCAUCAAAUACAUUUAAUCAAGUUUUAGAGCAACACAAAUAAUUAAGUAGUUAUUUAAAAACAUUUUAAAUAGUUUUGGGGAGUCUAAAAGUCCAAUUCGGACUUGGCUUUUGUUUGUGUUUGUACUCUUUAUAAAUAUCAUGUAUUAGAAGCCAUUGACAGAUUUGAAUGAAUUAAAAUAUAUUUGUGUUGUGCAAUUGCAGUGAGUGUUUCAUCCUUCUUUAAAAGCUUGGUUGUGUGAGCAAACCAUGAUUAGUAACGUCGAGCAAGUUCUGUUGCCCCUGGUUGAGUGAUUCCUAGGCUCUACCCCCUGUCUCUUCGAGACCCUUGGUUCUUUCUCUUGCAUUACAUAGUUUUGGCCGAGAUGAACAAGGACAAUACUAGACCAUUGCUUAGAAUGAAUCCCACAAUAAUGGGAUUUGCAUAGGCUGCUAACUAAGUUGAGGUAUUCCCCAAUUACCAAUUAAUUUUAUGGUGAAACCUUAACUUUCUUCAACAAUAAACCUUAUAUAAAGUAUGGCUAGUCUUGUUACUUAUUCUUUUCAAUUUAGUGUACCUCCAAUUCUAUUAUAAUUUCUGACAUAAAAAACUAUUAUGAUUAUAUGGUUGUAAGGGGUUCUAUUUGCACAUGCAUUCCUAAAUUUUAAGUUCAAUUUUGAAGUUGAAUUCAAAACAUUAUUUGAUUUAAUAUAAUAUACCUAGGUUUGUGAUGUGAAAAACUGACACAAGUGUGUCUCACAUCUCACUCCAUGUGCGUAAUUAAGACAAAGAUGCAAUCAUGCAAUCAAGAUGUACAUUUGAAUUAUGAAAGCUUUUUUCCGUUUUCUACUUUAUUAGAAGAUAUUGUAAGUCCAAAUCUCAUAGUGUUGUUUUUUUUUUUUGUUGACAAGAUCUCAUAGUGUUGUUGAAUUGAAAAACAAAACAAAAAAGUAAAAAAUUAAAAGAUCGGCAAUCCGUUGGAAGAAAAAAUCCUAAUGCAUUAACAGCUUCAAUGUUUGGUAGAAAACAUAUAGUCGGUGUCACUAUAAGAAAAUAAUCCAAAUGCACUUAAAUUUUGGUGAUUAUAAAAUGAGGAAAAUGGUUAUGUUAUGAUCCGUACACUCCUUUCUACUUUCACAUAUAUCUCUUAAUUCUCAGUCGUUAGAUUGAAUCAAUUGAAGAGAAUUAAAAGAUAAAUAUUAAACAGAUGAUGUGAGGAAGAAGUGUGCGGAUAGCACCACCCAUGUUUAAAAAAAAAUGUCCAAUUUAAUGUUAGCCUUCCAACUAGUCGCCACAAACCCUAGAUUUGAAACCUCAGCCGCCGCCCUUGCUUUUGCUUAGGGUUGGCGGUAACUGGCUACCCUCUCCAUCUAAUCAUCCUCCUUUUCUUCCACCUUUGUUGGUUUGAAAAUAGGUGUCAUGUAGGCUCGGCGUUCUUUGUCGAUUCUCCGGCGUUUUUGUCGGUUUCUGCUGCCUUAAUUUCUUUUGUUUUCCACCCCUCCUAUCUUCCUGUUAUUAAGGGUACAUGUCAGAAAUACAGUGAGUAAGUUGGUUAGAGUUGUUAGGUUUUCUCUUAUAAAAUUAGAAUUAUGUAUACUUUCUUUUUUAGUUAAUACAAAUUAUAUUUCUUUCUCUAGGAUCUAGGAUCUCUCUUGUUUCUCUCUAUCAUCUUCCUCUUCCUCUGUACCAUUUCUUCAUCUUUUACAAUGUAGUUAACAUGGUAUGGUAUCAGAGCCGCACCAAGGCUCAGGCCAUGGAUCUUGGUGGUCAAUUCCUCUUCUCUCAUUACUUUCUAUUUUUCUCAUUACUUUUUAUCGCUUCCGCGUAUUUGAUCGUUUAUGCUUCCGUAUUCAUAGUUCUCUCUGCUUCUCCAAUGGCGCCUAACCACCACUCAUUUCUCUUAAUCUUCUUUCUCACCACUCUGUUCUCAGCCAUCAACCCAAUCGCCACCGUCAUUGCCUCUCCCUCAUCAUUACCGCCACCACCACAAACCUCAUCUCUAUCUCCAUCACCAUUAUCAACACCACCAUCCCCACCGCAAUUAUCUCCGCCACUACCUCCUCAGCAUUCACGGCCAUCCCCAAGCACAACGCCCCAACAACUCAACAACAUAACCAACGUCCUAAUAGGAGCAAACACAGUAGUCCUCCCAUUGAGCGCCACCCUCUUCAUCCCGCAAGACAACGCUUUGAACAGCCUCCCCACCACCGAGGUUGUAGCAGUCACAGCCCCAGUACUAGCAAAGACGCCACAGUGGAAAAACAUUGAUGUGAACAUCACCGCCACCACAAUGAUCGCCGCCACAGUGGAAAAACAUUGAUGCGAACAUCACCGCCACCACAAUGAUCAUCUUCACCACAUGCAUUUUGCGAUCUUGAAAAACUUGCAGUUCUUGAUUUCUUGUGUUCGUAAGAAGAAGAUCGAAACGAAGACGAUCAAUCGAGGACGAAGGCAAGAAAUCUGUGUGUAAUGAAUGAAAAAAAAAUGUUGUGGAAUAAUGGUGAAGUGAAUUGAAACUACGAAUUGGUGGAAUGGAAUGGAUUGGAAGAAGUUGUCUAGUGCAUUCUUGCACAUUACAUGUUUGACGAAAUGACAGCUUGAGAUUUUCUGUGAAGGUUAUGUUUCUUGUCACUUUCUUUGAAUUCUUUGAAGAAUUGGAAUGAUUUCUUACUGCGAUUACUUCUGGGAUAUGACAAUCAAUUGUUUUCAUCCAAAUUAAGGCAUGAAAUAAUCUCACUUUCGAUCAUCUUUUUCUGAGUUUCAUGUUGUUUUUCGGAUAUUGGGGUUCAGCAUUGUCGGAAUAAGUAUUUGGUUGAUGGUUUGUGGAUUUUACUCUCAAUUGGGUCUUGGAGUUCAUUGUUUAGACGAUUCACAAGCUUUUGGAAGAAGUGGACUUGUUCUGAAGUAUUAGGCUAUCUCCAACCGAAGGGUCCAGAGGGCCAGAGGGCCGAAAAUAACCCUAAAACCGUCUCCAACCGAGGGCUAGGCCAGAGGGCUCGAGAAUCUGGGAGGGCCCCACGGAAUUUCAAAGGGCCAAAGGGCCAAAGGGCUGGCUGUUGGCUGGUUAUUUUUUUUUAUAGUUUUGUUAUUCCUGUCGGUUACUAUUAUUUAAUAUACUAAAUAAUGGUGUAUUAUAACCGACAGAACCGACAUUAUUGUUUAAAAAAAAAAUUCAAAUGAAACGGCUACUAGCCGUUGCAUUGAUUUGAUUUGAUUUUUUUAUAUUAUUAGUAUUUUUUUUAAAUUCCAUUUUUUUCCUAUAACUUCUAUUUCACAAAAUUUAUUUCAUAUUUUUUUUAAAUUCCAUUUUUCCCUAUAACUUCUAUUUCACAAAAUUUAUUUCAUAUUUUUUUUUAAAUUCCAUUUUUUUCCUAUAACUUCUAUUUCACAAAAUUUGUUUCAUAUUUUUUUUUACAUUCCAUUUUUUUUCCUAUAACUUCUAUUUGACAAAAUUUGUUUCAUAUUUUUUUUAAAUUCUAUUUUUUUUCCUAUAACUUCCUAAGCCAUUAUACAACAUUAAAUUAAAUUAAGUAACAUGAAACAAUAUUAAACAAUAUGAAACAACAUUAAAUAACAUUAACCAACAUAAAAAUUAUACAACAUGAAACUUAAACAACAUUUUAGUUGUAGUUUUUAAAUAAUAAAUUAUGUUUGGCCCUAUGGCCCUUUGGCCCUCCGUUGGAGACGGUUUUUUGUGACAGGGCUAAAACGAGCCCUCUGGCCUUUUGGCCCUCGGUUGGAGACGGAGUCAAAUAUUACCUUAUAUUGUUCAUUAAAAUAUUAAUAUCUUGGGGAAUCUUGGAGGGUCAGAGGGCUAAAAUGAGCCAUCUGGCCAACCCUCGGUUAGAGAUGGCCUUAGAUAGCACCGUGGAUGAUGCUUUGGGGUGACCAAGAAGCCUUGCAAAUGAAGUAUGAAGAAUAACAACAUCAUAAAGUUGCUUUUCAGGUGCACGUGGAAGCACAUCCCUCAAUUUUUCUUGAAUGAUUAUAGGAUAUGAUCCAGUGAUUACCUGCCAGCAUCUAAGGCCAUCUCUAACCGAGGGCUGGCCAGAUGGCUCAUUUUAGCCCUCUGGCCCUCCAAGAUUCCCAAGAUAUUAAUAUUUUAAUGAAUAGUACAGGGCCAUAUUGGCCUCUGUCUCCAACCGAGGGCCAAAGGGCCAUAGGACAAAACAUAAUUUAUUAUUUAAAAACUACAAUUUAAAUUCAAAUCUAACGGCUAAGUGACGUCAGCAUGAUGUCAGGUAUAAAUAGGGUGGAUAUUGGGCUAUAAUUCACACAACUUUAAAUUCAUAUUGUUUAAUGUGGUUUCAUAUUGUUUAAUGUUGUUUCAUAUUGUUUAAUGUUGUUUCAUGUUGUUUCAUAUUGUUUAAUAUUGUUUCAUGUUACUUAAUUUAAUUUAAUGUUGUAUAAAUGGCCUAGGAAGUUAUAGGAAAAAAAUAGAAUUGAAAAAAAAAUAUGAAACAAAUUUUGUGAAAUAGAAGUUAUAGGAAAAAAAAAUGGAAUUUAAAAAAAUAUGAAACAAAUUUUGUAAAAUAGAAGUUAUAUGAAAAAAAAAUAUGAAUCAAAUUUUGUAAAAUAGAAGUUAUAGGAAAAAAAUAGAAUUUAAAAAAAAAAUUGAAACAAAUUUUGUGAAAUAAAAGUUAUAGGAAAAAAAUGGAUUUUAAAAAAAAAAUAUGAAACAAAUUUUGUAAAAUAGAAGUUAUAGGAAAAAAAAUAGAAUUUAAAAAAAAAAUUGAAACAAAUUUUGUAAAAUAGAAUUGAAAAAAAAUAUGAAACAAAAUUUGAUUCUUAUGAAAAGGAAAAAAAAAGGAAAAAAAGAAGUUUAAAUUCAUAAAAAAAAAAAAAAGUUAAUACAACGGCUACUAGCCGUUAUAUUAAAAAAAAAUUCAAACUAUUAGUGUCGGUUAUAACCGACACUAAUAGUAAUUAAAAAUAAAAAUUUUACUUUAGAAUAACUAUUACUGUCGGUUAUAACCGACAUUAAAAAAUUCUUCUUUAAUGCUGUCGGUUAUAACCGACAACAAUAGGAAAACAUUAAAAAAAAAAUAGCCAACCUUCUCUGAUCCCUUGGGGCCCUUCCAAAUUCCAGAGCCCUUGGUUGGAGACGGUUUUAGGGCUAUUUUCAGCCAUCUGGACCCUUCAGUUAGAGAUGGCCUAAGAAGCACACAUGUUGAAGUUACUCAUGGUCAUUGACAAUGCAGCUGUUGCUACCAUAACUUGUUCCAAAUGGGACUUAGUUUCAAGAUUGUAUUGUGUAAGUCCUUGAAAUUCUGUUGUCUUUCAUUGGGUAUGAAUUGUUCAGGAGCUUAUCUCAACCUAUAAUUUCAGAGUCUAACCAACUUAGUUGUAGCAUGUAUAUACUAGAAGUCCAAUUGUAUAUUUCUUGAAGAGAUGAAAAGUUUGAAAAAGUUGUUGACGGUAAAUCCUACGAAGGGUAAUCUCGUUUUAUGAGUAGGUAAAUCCCACGAAGGGUAAUCCUACAGAGAUGUUGAUUUUCUAUUGUUGAAAUUGUGAAGGCCGAUGCCAUUGUUCAAAGAAGUUGUUGCUAGUAAAAUCCACAAGGGCGAUCCCAUGGUGCUAUAGUUGAGGCCGAUGCCACACUAUAGUUUGUUAAUUUUCUAGUUUUGUAAAUAUUAAAGGCCGAAGCCAAUGUUGAAUGAGAUUAUUGACGGUAAAUCCCACAAAGGGUAAUAAGAAGUUGUUAUAUCGGCAUAAGGGUGUGCUACAACUACUUUAUAGAAGGUUGUUCUUGUGUAAAACUCCUGAUAGAGGUAGAAGAAUACAUGGUGUCUUUAUUUGUAAGGCAGUGGAAGAAAUUUGGACAAACAGACAGAGGCUUUUGAUCAACAACUACAAAUAGGUCAUGGGGUACACUUGUUUGAUUCAGGGCUUUGGGAAAGCUAGAAGCUUAGGUAAUAUAGUUUAAGUAUAUGCGCUUACUCUCUGUCGUAUGGUAGUGUGAAGAAACUAAUGAUGAGAAUAUGGUGAUUUCUUGUUUGUAGCAGGCUAAUCCAAAUUGGUGAUUUUAGUCAAAGUGCUACAUGUGGAAAAUUGUUUGGGUAUCAAUCCAAUGGUGGUUCUCCUAAAUCUACAGUAGAGUGUCUCAAGUCUUCCAAUCUUAAACCGGGUUUCCCCAAUUGAGAUUAAGAAGGAGUAUUAAGGGUACAUGUUAGAAAUAUAGUUACCAAUACAGUUAGUAAGUUGGUUAGAGUUGUUAGGUUUUCUCUUAUAAAAACAGAAUUAUGUAUUCUUCCUUUUUUAGUCAAUACAAAUUAUAUUUCUCUCUCUAAACUCUCUCUCUUUCUAGGAACUACGAUCUCUCUUGUUUCUCUCUAAGAUCUAGGAUCUAGGAUCAUAAAAGUAUUAGGGCUAUUAGGGACCAAAAGUGAUUUUCCCAAGAUGUUCUUUCGUCGAGUGCUACCACUUUAGCACCAUUGCCACAUGAGACAUUUCUAGAGUCUUGACAAAAGUAGACUUUGCAAGAAUUCUAAUAGGUGGCAUUCUAAUGGAUACUGCCAAGGAAUCAAACUAUUUCGGAUUUCCAAUCUCAAAGGUUUAAUACUGAUAGCUGGAGGAUAAGGAUGGAAUUGGUUGGUAAAGUCUCCAAUGAUACACAAUUACCAAUACAUUAGCCUUGGUUUAGGCCAUCAACUUACCUUAAAUCUACAUCUUUCCUUGGCAGGGAUUUUCUUCUCUUUAAGUCUAAGGGCAAUCGCCAAAGUGCUCUUCUAAAAUGUCAACAAGUAGACAAAACUACCCAAAACUUAGGAAAACUAACAAUUUUUCGUAUUCGACGAGGUGGCAAGACCCGAACAUUAGGCUUAAAAACCUAGAAUGCUUUCAUCACGCAUGUGAUGAACGCAACAUUACCCAACUUAUGCUCUGAUACCAAACUGACACACCUUGACCCAGAAUAUCCACUAGGACUUCGAAUCGAGCUAUGCUGGCCAACACCUGGAAGGUGACAAAGCCAUAAAGUAUAAUGAUGUGGAAAAUGUGAAUAAAUUUAAACCUUAAAGUACCUAAAGACAAAAGUGCGCUGUGAGCGGGGAUGAACCCAUUUCACACGCGACGUCAAAGAAUAAGUAAAGUACAGUAGUAUGGAUAAGGAUCAUACCCUCGGAGGUAGCCACCUAUACUGAGGUUUGCCAAGAAUCAUUGUCUAUACGAACUUUCAGCAGCUAAAACCUAGAAGGGCACAAAAACAAGGGUGAGUGGGCUUGAAAAUAGAGUUUUUAAUAAAAACCUUUUGAAAAUGUUACAACCCCUUGCCAUAAAACUUGUACAAUUUCCGAGAAAAUAAUAAUAUAUACGUAUAUAGAAAUCAUGCUCGAGAGUAGUGAAAACCAAGUAUAUGCCAUGUCAAGUAUCUCAACAAUGAAAUAAGUAAGCCGGGUGAAAUAAAUCAAUGUAAAACGAUAUGUCAGCCGAAGUCACCUAACGUGACCUGUAUGGUUGAGCCUAUAGCUCAUUAACCAAUUCCUGCACAUAAAUCAGAAUCACCUAUUGUGGUCUGUACGACAGGGUUAAGUGCAAACAAGUACGCUCAAAUGUUACGAUCAUGUGAAGGCUAUACGAAUAAUCGCGGGUCACCUAUGAGUCGGAACCACCUAAUGUGGUCUAUACGAUAGGGCUGUGCACCAAACUUUGAUACAAGGUGAGCAUGCAGUACGGGAGGUGAACAUCACGUGAAGGAUUGUGCCUUAGCCACGGGCGGGAGCACUAACACCCGGGUGCAGGAUAAUGAGCUCUAUAUGCCUCUACAUAUAACCAUAACCAAUGCAACCAAUAACAUCAUACAAUACUCACCUGAAACUUACUUGGCCUCCGCAGCGUCAUACAAUAGAAUGCAUAUACAUACCAAUGCAUAUAAUAAAACGAAAUGCAAGCAUGACAUGGCAUUUAAAAGAAUACGCUCGUUUAAAACAGUCUCUGGGAAAAUGUAAAGCAUAUAUACAUAUAUAUAUAUACAUAUAUAUAUAUAUAUAUAUAUAUAUAUAUAUAUAUAAAACCAAAAGCCCACUCACCUAGAGUCCACACUACAACUCCCUAGCACAAACAUCAAGGCGUCACGAACGUUCGGCGCCUAGAACAAUUAUCAAAUCAUGUCUUAGAAUUCUUAUCAAUAGAACAUGUAACUUACAUAUCCUAUUCGGGAAGAUCUGUACGUUGGAUUCCCGAUCUGUAAGUUUCUAAUAUUAUCAAAUGUUACAUAUUAUAACAUGUCAAAGUUUGGUGACGAUCCAACGGUUGGAUCGUCGAUUGCUAUAAUAAUCAAGCGGAUGACCUUAAUGGAACUACGUUCAAAUGACGGAAAUUUGUCAAUCGAACUUCACCAAUGGAACUAGGGUAUUCAAAUUUAGCCUAGGAAGGUCAGGCGAUGUCUCGGCCCACGCACCGCCGCAGGUGGAGGUCAGCUGCCCCGACUCGUUGGAAAAUUCAAUUAUUUCUAAAAAUUACCAAAUUUUACAGGGAUGAAGAUCUCAAUGAGAGGAACAACUUUCAUACCUGUGACCAAGGCCAUUUCGGUAGGGAAACACCUCAAAUUCCCCUCAAUCCGCCGAAAACUCCAUAAAAUGUGAGCUUCGAAUCGACUUCCAUACGCUCUCCAACGCCUCCACUAUUGUUUGGGCUUUAUUCUUGACCUCUAGAGAAGUUUUUUGAUGGUGGUGAUUGAAGAUAAUCAUUUCAAAAAUGGGUGGAUUGCUGCCGGGUGCCCUCGAAGCCAACGAUUUCAGUCCGUCGUGAAACAAAGAUGGAAGAUCUCUGGGUUGAUUUAUGGUGGUGGAGGGCCCAAAAACCUGACGAAAUCUUGUCAGAAAAUGGCUUUAGGAAUCAAGUCACGGUUUCAAAACGGGUCGGGGGUCCGAUCAGCUACCCCCUCAACUCUUUCAUUUCCCCUCCUUUUUCUUCUCUUCCAUUGGUUCUCUCAUUUUCUCCCUUUCCUAAUUGGUCCGGCUCCUCCCUCAUUUCUCUCUUUUAUCCUUCAUCUCCACCGCCUAUCUUUCCUUUAUUUCAAUCUCAGCCACACACAUGGCUUUCCAGAUUUGGCCCAAAAAAUCUGGAGCUUUCUUGAUAUUAAUUAAUUUACUAAAAUGCCCCCAACUUUAAACGUUAAUAUCUCAUUCGUUAUAACUUCAAAUGGCAUUCCGUUGGCACCCACGCGUCCGUAGCGACGAGUACUACAAGGAUAUGCCAAGAAAAUGAAUCUUACAUAACUCGACAAGCGGUCAACAAAAAGCAAUGCAUUUUCCUCAAAGGACAUUUUCGAAUUUUCACAUUUAAAAUUUAUAAAGACUGUAAUUUUUUAGGAUGGGCCGUUACAUCUUCCCUUUACAGCCCACCUCAUUUUGAUACCCACCCUAACUUUUGCUUAGAUCCUGUAGCGACGAACAAAAGAUGGAGGCCAAGUCUAUUUUCGUCCUUCAUUCCCCCUACGCCACUUGACAAUGCCGGGUUUCUCUCGAGGUCAAGCGUUCUACAACUUCUACCAAAGUAGGGGUAUUUCACAUGCUCUCUUAGCCUCACCAGUCAUCCAUCUGUUAAUGUAUUUGUAUACACUUGUAGGAUUUGGUGAAAGUGAUUUAGAUACGGUGGCUAUUGUUUGAGGAGUUCUUGGUGACAAAAUCUGGUUUUAGUGCUUUAUUGGUGGCGGGUUUGUAACUUUUGUACUAUGUUCUCUUGGUUGAAUUGGCCACUUGGUCGUUUUCUUCAAUGUAACUGACUCGGUCGUUAAAUUAGAUGCAAGUGACAUUUUACCAUAGUGAUGCAAAUGAGUUGAGCCAUUACAUGUCGAUGUGGGUUCGAAUUCCUUCGGUGAUUAAUCUAACAUAUAAUUUAACAAAAUCUAUCAUUCGACAAGCAAAAAAAAAACUGCCUUGAUUACUGCUGACAAGGCAUUCGUGGUGGCAACAUCAGUUAUACUCUACAAUUGGAUGAUAGGAUUUAGGGUUAAUUAUGUUGUUUUUUUUUGUCUUUCUGCCUUAGGUUUCUCCCGAUAAAUUUUGGAUUUUCUGCCGUCCUUUUGGUUUGGCCCAUGUAGCCCGUCUUUAUGUUUAUUGAAUUCAAUUCUCGCCCCAAAAAACAAGAAAGAAAAAAAAACAAACAAAACCGAUGUGAUUUAUCUAUUUAAGCCCAUCAUCAGUCUCCUCAAUCCUUUUCCACCAAACCUUUCCUCCCCCCCUCUCUCUCUCUCUCUCUCUCUCUCUCUCUCUCUUUCAGAUCAAAUGGAGCAACACUCAGAUCCAAAGUGGGAAGCCAAGUUUUCUACAACCCUAAAAGAUGCCACAGUGGACCAAAUAUGGCCUCUCUGCAAAGACUUCUUUUAUUUCCACAAGUGGUUUCCAACCCUUGCCCCUUGCUAUGGGAUCCAUGGAACCAACGGUGAACCCGGCUAUAUCAGACAUUGCUCGCUGUUCUCAAUCCCCUCCAAGAGUGGUGAGAAGUUCGUCAGCUGGUCCAAGGAACGAUUAAUAGCCAUUGAUGAUCCUGACCAUAGUCUGAGCUAUAAGAUCGUGGAGAGCAACAUUGGGUUUAAGUCGUACGUCUCAACGUUCAGGAUUGUUCCGCGUGGGGAUAUUGACGGUCGAGAUGGGUGCGUGAUCGAGUGGUCUAGAACCGUUGAUCCUGUGAAGGGCGGAUUCUUGGUGAUUUGGUGAAGAAGCAUAAGGCUGGGUUUUAGAAAGGGGUGUGAUAUCCAUAUAUCCAAUUUUACUUCUCAUACACAUUUUUAAUUUUCGAUCGUCGGAUCAGAUGAAUUGAAGAAGAUCAACGGACAUAAAUUAUCAAGAGGUAUGUGAGAAGUAAAAUGGGGUGUGUGGAUAGUACACCAAUGUCUAAGAGAAUGGAAGAUGCAAUUUGUAUUUGAACAUUUCCUGCUGCCGGGCAGCCGGGAUUCUGAAUGCUCAUCACAACAUUACUUCAAUGAUCAUUCUUUCAAGUGCCAAAUUUGAAUUCCCUCAUUUUGUUUUGUUUUGUCAAAGUAUAGUUUUUGUUAGAUUAGAUGUUAAAUUAGUCACCGACGGGGUUGAACCAACGUUAUCACGAAAGAGCUCAACACUUUUCCAACACUGUGAUCAAGGUUCUAAAAGAUGCUAGUCGGGCGGCGGGUUGGAGCCUAGCGCCUAGGCGAUGCCUAAGCAGACUAGGCGGAUUAAGUAAAUGUAUUAUAUAUUGUAUAAAUAAAUGUCUAUUUAUACAUAACAAAACAUAUAAUUGUAUUGGUAUCAAUAAAUUGAUAAAUAAACUGACAUAUAGAUUAUAACGUAUUAGAACACAUUGCUAAUAUGAGGAACAAACAUACACUAAGUGUUCAUUCAAGUAUUCAACAAGUUUCUUACAUUUUAUUGAAAAAUAAAAUGCAAAAUGAAAGUUAUCGAUCUUUUGUCUAAGUGAAAAUCGCUACCAAGGUAGGUGCCUAGGAGGGUUUAGGCAGGUGUCUAGGUGGACUAGGCGGGCGUCUCAUCGGGUCUAGGUGCACUUUCUUAAUUUUCAAACACUUAUGAACUAAUCGGGGCGGUAGCUAGCCACCUAGUGCCUAGGCGGCGCUAGACGGGGAUUUUUGGAACAAUGAUUGUGGUAAAGGGCCACUUGCAAUUCCCUCAUUAUUGUGGAUAAACAAUGCAACACAUGCAACAUUCUCGGGAAUACUUUUGCUCACCCUCUAAAGUGGCAGUAAUACUCAAGCCCCAUUAAUUGUCGUUAGUGUGGAACCAAAAAUAAUCAAGAUGCGACACGUGAAUUUUUUGGUAAAAUAGACAAAAUUACCCUCAAGGCACACCGGAAUUCCUACACGCGAGUAGUGGACAAUCAUCCCUUAAUCAAGUCAAAAGUGCCCAAAUAGGUAUUUAUUUAUAACCUAUUUCAUCUAUCCCUCAUCAUAUCUUCUCCACAAGGUAACCCCUAAAUCAUUCAUUUUUUAUUAUAAUAAUUAGCUAAUUAAUUGAUUAAUUAUUCAAUUAAUUUGCUAAUUAAACACAAAUCGUGAACUUCACCCACAAAACCAUCCAAGUAGUCGGUCCAUCUCCUCCCAAGGUGGCUGGCCACACCUCUAUAUAAACACCCUCAUUUUCUCCAAAACUCAAUUCCAAUUCUCUUGCUAAAUUCUCAAAAUUCUCCAAACAUUUUUCCCUCAAAAUUCUAACUUUGGCAUCAGAGGUUUUUCGGCCAAAUCCCCUCCCAUUCAUCGUGGGCGCGUGAAGCUCUUGACCUUGACCUAAGGUGUUAUUUGUUUUGUAGGUGCAAUUUUGUCCAAGAUCAAUGAGGAAGAAAUUUACAUUCAUAAAUUGGUGCUUUCAUUGAGAGUUGAGUCACACAUUCGUAGAAGACUCUCGCAUCUAAGGUUUUUCGCUUUCUUGUUCAUUUGUAGAUUUUUCAUACGGUCUUAUUCUUAGAAUUUUUAUUUCUAAAUUUUUUUUGGUAAAACGUAAAAGAAAAGUACAACGGCAAGGGAUUCGGAAACCUCAAUGAUCGAAACUUCCUAUGUUCAAAGAUCCGGAUUGAAUGAUGGAGGACAAGACGUAGCACCAACACGACGAUCCACAAGGCUCAACACGAUGGCAAGAUGAGCAACUUUACCACCAAGGAGCACCACCACCAUGGCAGCCACAAGGACUACCGUGACAGUGGGAAGUGAGCCAGCUCCAUGGCACCGAGCCCACGGUGAGCAGGGGACAACGAGGCAGCCACUAACUCAGGCCCAUGCCACUUUGCAGCAGCAAGCCCAAGCGCUAGAAGCAGCGUAAGCCGUUGCCCUAGCAACACAAGCUCUAGCCUCAUACCCACGUGUGCCACACGCCGAACAGCCCACUUCUGUGGCCCAGCUUGCUCCCACAGUCUACUCUGCUACAGUGGCCAAGCCUAUUCCCGCGUUCCAGUCUACUCCCGUGGCCCAGCCUGCUCCCAUAGCUUUCCAAGCAGCCCAAAUCAGUCCAAGAUUAGUUCAACUGUCCCGGCUUCAAAUUCCUGGGCUUACGAUUGAGUCGGGGGCAUUUUCAUCACAUUUCUUAUCGGAUUUAACAUUUCCCAACUCAAAUCUCUUGCUCGGAGUCUACCACACUGCUCAAGAAGACACAUUCAUUCCAGGUUCUUCUAACCUAAAUGGAGAAUAACACUUGUCUCGAUAAGUUAUAGAGUUGACGAUCACUUUCGCACAACAGACAACCUUGGUGAAUCAACUCUCGCAACACACCGAGAUGCAACGUACCCUUGACGAGGUGUCCUGAAGUAGGAAAAAGGUAGAUGAAGAACCUCUUCAGCAGUGUCCUGGAAAACAUCCCAUUAACCAGCCACGAUCCGAGCGUUCUAGCAGCUUACGCUUCCGCCUGGGUCCUCGAGAUAGCGUAUAUUAUUGUCUUAGCGCGCGAAGGAGCGUGUAUUCUUGAUCAAGCCCAUGAAUGAGCAUACGUUCAUAGUUGAGGCUACACUCUGAUUAUCAACAUGGAUAACCUUCUAUGCGAAGUGUUCAUUCACAACUAGGCUUGCAAGAAGCAUUCUCCACCUCACAUCGGAGUAGGCAGCACGAAAGCAGUCUCCACUUCACAUUGGAGUAGGCAGCACUGCGGAUGGAGAGAAGUAGUCACUCAAUCCAACUCAAGUUCAACUGGUAGCCUGCAAAUAGCCUGGUCGCUCGCCAGAAAUAUCCCACAUGCACCACAGCCACAUCAUAGAUGAGUCGAGCAUAAGGAAGAGUGGCCUAGACUAAUAGGUCACAACUAGGGGCAACUGAAAGUUCCACUGACCCAACAGAGGUAAAUUCAAGAAGAAGUUGAUAGGCUUCUGAUCGAACAAUUACAUAAUUUCUAGCGCAACGAGGCUGCUGACGAUGCACUUCGAUGAAACAUGACCAACAUAAGCAUGUCACCAUUCAAGGAUGAGAUUGGGCAGAUAAAUCCCCCUCGCGGGUUCCCUAUGCCUCACUUCACUCUAUACAAGGAAGACGAAGAUUCGGAUUGACAUCUCAAGCACUGCCUCAGUACCAUGAUCCUCUUCAGGAACGAUGAUGUGGUUAUGUGCAAAAUUGUUGCCAUAACUCUACAAGGCGAAAUUUGCACUGGGUAUUAUUUGUUUUGUAGGUGCAAUUUUGUCCAAGAUCAAGGAGACAGAAAUUUGCAUCCAUAGUUAGCUUAUUUAAUUUGGGGGGUGAUAUACCCACCCACCAACACUAUUUCUCUACCCACUUUUUAAUGGUACUUUUAAUGACAACUCUAAACUUUUGCAAAAUGACUUAUAAGGCCAUCUUUAACUAUUUUAUUCUUUUGUUUUUGUAUUAAAUUCUGAAAAUAGAAGGAACAAAAACAUGAGCCCAGCAAGUUGAAUCCAUCGUUUUCCUCAUCUUUUAUGUCAAUUCCUUCCCAUCCAUUUGAAAUCUUCAUCAAACACCAUAGACCCAUUACAAUUACCUUAAGAAACUUACUUUUUUUUCUUUUUCUCUCAUACCCAUUUAUAGUUUUGACAAUCCAUGUGGAAAUGUGCUCAGUUCAUCUAAUUGACGUGGUUUUGAUACCCCUCUUCUACGAUUAGUCCUCUACUUGAGUUGUAAUUGCCGAGAGCAACUACGAGGUCGAUCGAGGAUGUUGCUCAUCCUCAUAGUCUUGAUUAAAUUAGAGACAAAGUUGGUUGACGGUGAAAAGGGGGUUGCUUGUCGUUGAGUGGGUGGAUGUGUGGUGGUGGCUAAUUUUCUUUGUAAGGGAUAGUUUAGGAAUAUUAGUGGGGAAAUAGUAUUUUUCUUGUUUACCUUUUGCGUGGGGUGGGAAAAUAAGGUGGGGUGGGAGAAUAGGAUUGUGGGGUGGGUCUAGUAGCUCUCUUUAAUUUUAAGAUUCGUAUUUUAUAUCAACUAAACUAUAUUAAUUUAAUUGUAAAUUAAAUAGGGAUGAGCAUUUUUUGAGGUGAGCAAAAAUGCACACAUCUCUCUCAUAGGCACUAAUGAUGAAGUCAGUUUAGCUAUAUAUUUAACAAGUUAUAAAAUCAUAAUGUUAUAUAGCCCAUGUGUUUUAGCUGAGGCUUAAAGCAUAAGUGAGUGACAACUAUUGUAUAUGUUUGCUAGUGGCAUAUUGUAUUAAUUUUUUAGGGUCUUCUUUUUCAACCUAUUAACUUAUCGGUUUAAACCCUUAUUUAAUUCUCGUCUAAUUUAUAGUAGUGAUAUUGUUUGUAAUUAAAAACUCUAUAUAGAGAGCUGUUACUAACACUCUAAAAAUGUCUACUUAGUUUCACUCUAAAUUUAUAAAACACAAGAAAAGUUUAUAUUAAAAGAUGCGUAAGAUGAUAUUUUCGAGUGCCAGUAACAGUACUUUUAAAAAAAUUAUAGAAUUCUAGCUUGAGCACCGACCAGUCAUAAUAUAUGAAUCCAAAUGGGUAGGCUUUGGUAAUCCCACAAAAUCUUGUUCUUUAGCCAAACAAUUUCAUUUGGACUAGCAUGUAUAUGAUAAAGAAUCUUUUUGUGGUUUUGAAUGAAGAAAACCCCUACAAAGGCAUACCACCAUUCCAUGUGCCUCACAAUUAUUCGUUGUUAAUUUCUUUGUUUAUUUGUCAUGGCAGAAAACGAAACACCAUUAAAAAAGGAAGGUAAAGGUUGCCCAUUAUGUAGCUUAGUCAAACUUACUUUUUCUUUAGCAUAAAAUAUAUCAUUGCAUCCAAAAAAAAAAAAAAAGGAAGGCAAAACCUCUGGCCUCUCUUGGCUGAUUUUUGCAACUUACACAAAUGGUUGUCAAUCCUUGACACAUAUUACCUAGUUGAGGGAGUCCCCAGCCAGCCAUGUGUGAUCCGAUAUUGUGCCACUCCUCCCACUGAUCCUGUCUAUAAGACGACCAUCCGGUGGACUAAAGACGUUUUACUUGAGAUUGAUCGAAUCAAACACCGUUUGAGCUAUGAGAUCAUUGACAACAAUCUCGAGUUCAAGUCUUACGUUGUAGUAAUGCAAUUGAUCCCGGUCAAUGGUGAAGAAUGGUGAAGAUGGUAGCACGUGGUACAAGAUCAAGUGGUCGUUUGUUAGUGACCCAGUUGAGGGAUGGAAAUAUGAUGAUAUUGAUGAGAUGAGGGACCUUACAUGGAUUUAUAAGAGGUUGGGCUAUUCUUCAUAUUGCCAAUUGGUUUUAUGGUGGAACCUCAAUUUUCUUCAUGGUAUCAGAGCAAAUUGUCCACAUGUGAAACCAAACGGCUAUAUGCACUCCACGUCACCCUGUUGUGUUGUCCACGUGUUAGCUUUGAAAUUUGCCACACGUGAGGGGGAAUGUUGAGAAUAUGUCUCACAUUGAUGGGAGAAUGGAUUGCAUGGGCUUAUAAGAGGUUGGGCUACUCUUCAUAUUACAAUUUAUUUUAUAAUGAAACCUCAACUUUCUUUAUUUUUGACACUUCUACGAGAUUGAUAGCAAAGAAUAUGGAGAAUGCUUUUCUAUCCUCUUUUGGGUGAACAUUGAUUGAUUUUCAUGCAAGUUAGACAUAUCUUAUUGUAGUGCAUAAUGAUUCAUUACUUUGUGUUUGAAAUAAUGUCUAAGUUAUAGGGCAUGUUUACUUGUCAUGAAAUGGAUAAACAACUUCCCAUAGUAAUUUCAUACUUGACUUUGAAUCAAGUCCAUUCACAUGUUUGAUUUUUAAUAAACCGUUGACCCUAAAAACUAUCAAGCCUACGUGGCGCGCAGACUGAGUAACUAAUGAGCUAACUACGUCCUUCGGUUGAUGCAGGGCGUGCUAACUCGUCGAGCGAGUUUGGCUGAGGAGUAAAAUGUGUUGAUAUUGCAUUGGGUGCGCUGCUGACUUCUGAAUGUCGCGACUGCGGCCGAGGAAGGAACACGUCUCGACCUUCCGGUUUUAGAGCCUAAAGACAAGGCUGCUAGUUCUGUGAAGUUUAAUAUCAAAUUCGGCUCUCAGAGUGCCGAAUAUAAUAACCUGGUAACACCUCACUUCACCGAGAAGGCUGAUGAGAUGACUUCUACCAGUCGACCUCAUCGCAAUGCUGUUUAUCCAAACUGAAGGUGCUUUGCAGUCGGUUGAUUCUACGGCAACAGUGUUGUUUAUAAAAAUUGAAGAUGUUCGCCGGUUGCCUUCACAGUGUUGUUUAUCCAAACUAAAUAUGUGUUGGUGAAAAAGAAAAUAAAAAUCUCAAGAUGUUUUAGAGGUUUCGCAAAGAGCGAGGGUUUGCGCAGGGCAGUUUGUGUGUUAUGUUGAAGAGGCCCCUUUGUGUUGAACUGUUUCUUGUAUUUAUAGGGAUGAGUACGCGGUUGAUAAGUUCUGAAGCUCCACCAUGCUACUAAAAUUCUUCCAUCGUCCAAGCUUUCGGUCAAAUCCUAAUCUCUUUAGUAUAAUCCGCAUGCAUCUUUAUCUUGUGCCUAUGCGAAGCCAAACGGUAUUUCAUGAUGAGACCACGUGUUUAAUGAGACGUAUUUCUAUCUCAAAUGAACUCUGGGUUGAUAUUUGCUUGGCUGAUGGUGUUCAACUACGACUUAAACUCUAGGAGGAAAACUGAUUCGUUUGUCAUCUAUGACUUUUCAAACAAACUGAAAAGCCUAUCUAGGAAUCACAUCAUCACCAAAAGCCUAGCUUUCCUAGACUACCUGUCUCAUCCGUCACCCAAAACCAUCAUCUUUAUUGUUGCAUGCAUCCUGACCCAAACCAAAUGAAUUUUAAAUUCAUUUUGAAUUGUGCCACACAUCCACAUCCAAACAUCCACAUUAAUUUGAAUUGUCCCGCUGAUUCCUAGCUUGAAGAUAUAUUAUUUUUAUAAGCAAAUGUCAAGAUAAAUCAUUAUUAAAAGAUAAUUAUGAUAAAAAUCAUAAUGUUAUCUUUUAAUAAAAUUAUCUUUACUUUUUCAUUGACGGUGUGGAGGUAUGCUUACUCAACGGCCUCGAUUACUUGGGCCGAUAGUGUAAUCUUGGAUCCAAACAUAAACAUAAGAAUAAAAUGAUACUCGUUCCUUGCAAAACCAUUUCUCCAAAAAAAGUAGCCCUUAUAUAGGCAAAGAAUAAAAGGAGUACAUGACGCAGCACAAAGGAAGAAGGAUUACAAAUUUAAAUCCCUGAAUAACUGAUAAUCUGGAAUCCACCAGUUCUUUUAGAGUAAUUUCAAAAGAUAAUUUGCUUAAUUGAUAAAUUGAUUGAAAGAUGAUUACAAGAAAAGCAACCAAUGACUUAAAAACCAGAUUAACUCCCUAGGAUAACUCAAAAGUCUUAAGAAAUUAAGACGAAAGUAAAUGUCAUUAAUCAGACUACAAACAAAAAGUUCACUUUUUUUUUUUUACAGAAUUUAAAAUGCAGUUUUGGAAGCCUAAACAACAUAUCAAUUGAAUCCAACACUUUCCAACUUUAAUUCUUUUUUUUUUCUUUUUUUUUGAUAAUUUGAAACAUUUUAUUUCCCUUAUAUUUAUUCGUCAAAAUUAACUCAUAUCUUGUCCUUUACAUCAAUACAUCAUGAUGUUUGAACACAUCUACGAUGAAUGUAACUUCACCAUUCGACCAGGAAAAAGGUCAAAAAUUAACUAGUUAAGUUAAAUCACUAACCACGGUGCUGCUCAUGUUUGAUUGCUUGAACAUAGCACGUGCUUGACUGCUAGUGGAAAUUCAGAUCGAGUAAUAUAAUACUGGUAUAGUUGUUUUCCGUUUUGGUUUCUUAAUAAUUAUAGUUUUUAUUUAGAAAACGAAUACAUUAUUCAAGGUUAAAUGAAUAAGUACAAAGGAUAUGACACAUUUAUAAUAAAAAUCUUACGAGAGAUUUCAAGUUGAUCAAAGAAAAAAAAGAGUAGCAUUGCGUGAAACUACAUAUUAUUGAUAUCCUCUAAUAACAAAUCUCCAAGCAAGUUUGAUAACAAGUUGUUUCAAAUAUGAUAUUUUACCCUUGCGAAGCAUGAAAUUAAGGGCAAAAUCACAUGGUUGUUUAAAUUCUUUAGUGACUCUUUCAUUAAAAAAAUGACAAAAUAACAAGUUGUGAGGUAACUGAAACGACUAGCAAACUGAGCAAUUAAUACCAUAUGAACGAGAUUAAAAUUUGAGUCAAACGAACCAAAUAUGUCAAAACCGACACAAGUAAUGCUGAUCAAUGCAAAGAACCUGUACGUAUGCACAAAUAAGUUUGAUUGGCAAUUUGGGCAGAUCUUAUCUAACACAUGUUAGUUGAAUCAAUUCUUUUAUGUAAUUUCAAGAAAUUAUACGUAGGUUGUGUCAUGAAUCCGUCGUAUAUGCACUCGUAUGCAUAGUUCAUUUUAAGUUUCUCCUUGCCUAAAAAUUACAUAAACAACUAGAGUCUAUUUGGAUGAGGGUCUAAUUAAGGAGGGAUCUAGAAGACACGUGAUUAGAUUAAGGGAUUAAAACAGGGUUUUACUAAUUAAGGAGGGAUCAAAACCGGUGCGAUGUGUCCAUUUAAGCCCAUCAUCAGAGUCUCCUCAACCCUCUUCCACCAAACCUCCCCUCUCUAUCUCUCUCUCAGAUCAAAUGGAGCAGCACUCAGAUCCAAAGUGGGAAGCCAAGGUUUCUGCAACCCUAAAAGAUGCCACAGUGGACCAGAUAUGGCCUCUCUUCAAAGACUUCUUUAAUUUCCACAGGUGGUUUCCAACCCUAUCCACUUGCCAUGGGAUUCACGGAACCAACGGUGAACCCGGCUGUGUCAGAUAUUGCUCGGGGUUCUCAAUCCCCUCCAAAAGUGGCGAGAAGUCCGUCAGCUGGUCCAAGGAACGAUUAAUAGCCGUUGAUGAUGCUGACCAUAGUCUGAGCUACGAGAUCGUGGAGAGCAACCUUGGGUUCAAUUCGUACGUCUCGACGUUCAGGAUUGUUCCGCGUGGGGAUAUUGAUGGUCGAGAUGGGUGCGUGAUCGAGUGGUCCAUAACCGUUGAUCCUGUGGAAGGGUGGGUUUUCGGUGAUCUGGUGAGGAAGUAUGAGUCUGGGUUGCAGAAAAUGUCUAAUAGAAUAGAAGAUGCAAUUUGUAUUUGAACAUUACUUAAAUUAUCUCAUCACAGCAUUACGCCAAGACGCCAAAUUUGAAUUCCCUUGUUAUUGUGGAUAAACAAUGCAACACAUGCAUCAGUCUCUGGAAUACUUUUGCUCACCCCCUAAAAUGACGGUAUACUUAAUUGUCAUUAGCUUAUUUAAUUUUAACAUUAGUAUUUUAUAUCAAUUAAACUAAUACUUAUCUAAUAGUAAUUAAUAGGGGGUGAGCAUUUUUUGAGGUGAACAAAAAUGCACUCAUCUCUCUCAUAGGCACUAAUUAUGUAGUCAGUUUAACUGUAUAUUUAACAAGUUAUAAAAUCAGAAUGUUAUUAGGCCAUAUGCAUUAUCUGAGGCUUAAAGCAUAUUAAGUGAGUGACAACUAGUGUAUAUGUUUGCUAGUGGCAUAUUGUAUUGAUUUUAUAGGUCUUCUUCUUUAACCUACUAAUUUAUCGGUUUAAACCCACAUUUAUUUCUAGUUUGGUUUAUAGUAGUGAUAUUGUUUGUAAUUAAAAACUCUAUAUUUGUUUAACUGUAAAGAGCUGCUACUAACACUCUAAAAAUGUCUACAUCAUUUCACUCUAAAUUUGUAAAAUACAAGAGAAGUUUAUAUUAUAAGAUGUGUAAGAUGAUAUUUUAAAGUGCCAAUAACAGUACUUAUAAAACAAUUAUAGAAUUCUAGGUUGAGCACCGACCAGUCCAAAUGGGUAGGUUUUGGUAAAUCCCACAAAAUCUUGUUCUUUAGCCAAACAAUUUCAUUUGGACUAGCAUGUAUAUGAUGAAGAAUCUUUUUGUGGUUUUCAAUGCAGACAACCCCUAUAAAGGCAUACCACCAUUCCAUGUUCCUCACAAUUAUUUGUUGUUAAUUUCUUUGUUAAUUUAUUUGUCAUGGGAGUAAACCAAAUUAACACCAUUAUUAAAAUGGGAAGGCAAAACCUCUGGCGAGCUCGAAGGCCAAGCAGCGGAACAAGUUUGGCCUCUAUUAAUUGGCUGAUUUUUGCAACUUACACAAAUGGUUGUCAAUCCUUGGCACAUGAUACCCCUAGUUGACGGAGUCCUCGGCCAGCCGGGUGUGUUCUGAUAUUGCGCCACUCCUCCGACUGAUCCUGCCGAUGAGACGACCAUCAAGUGGACCAAAGAGGUCUUACUUGAGAUUGAUCCGAUCAAAUUAACACCGUUUGAGCUGUGAAAUCAUUGAGAACAAUCUCGGGUUCAAGUCUUACGUUGCAGUAAUGCCAUUAGUCCCUGUCAACGGUGAAGAUGGCAGCACGGGGUGCAGGAUCGAGUGGUCGUUUGUUAGUGACCCAGUUGAGGGAGGGAAAUAUGAUGAUCUUCGAGCUUUUUUUUUUUGACACUUCUAUGUAGGGGUGGGUUCAAAAAACCGAAAACCGAACCGAACAGAAACCGAAAAAACCGAACCAAACGAAAAAAUUGAACCGAAUUGAAAAAACCAAACCGAACCGAACUCUUUUGGUUCGGUUUGGUUUUGAUGGUCUAGAAACCGAACCGAACCGAAAUAAUUAAAUUAAUAUUUUUUAAAUUUUAUUUAUUUAUUUAAUUAUUUGAUUUUAUUAUAUUAGAAUAUGAUACUUCGGACUGCUGCUUUGGUAGGACUUGUUUGCUUUCCAAUUCAAAUUGUCUUCUCAGCUUCUCCAUCUGCAACAAAAAUUAGAACUUAUACCAGUACAAGCAAUAUUUGUAGUUUAUAUCAUUAAGUGCAACACAUAUAUAAGAACACAUAUCUCAACAGCAUUGCAGUUGAUUAGGGAAAGCAAACAGCGUAUAAAAGUCUCAUGAGUUUAUUAAACACUACGAGAUCAGAAACAAAAUUCAAACUUUCUCACCUAUGGCCAAGUAUAGUAGCUUCCGUGGCCUAACAAUUUUGAAAAGUAUAUCAAUAUAUUCAAAAAUAUUGAUGAACACCUCUUCAAAAUUUGCUGGUGGUAGAAGCUGAACACAGAAUAUAGAAAUUAUAUUAUGUAACCACAUAUAUGGAUAAAAAAAAUUCGGACCACAAAGAUAAAGAAAAUAUAAAAAAUUGUUACCUAGACAAUAAUCAAAAUAAAUAGUAUAUUAUAGAAUGUUUAUCGUGUUGCUAGUGAAGAAUACAAGUAUAUAUAUAUAUAUAUAUAUAUAUAGAGAGAGAGAGAGAGAGAGAGAGAGAGAGAGAGAGAGAGAGAGAGAGAGAGAGAGAGAGAUUGAGAGAAAGAGAGAGGUCAUACUCCAUCAUCAUCGUGUAAAAAAAAAUCUAUUUACAGUUAAACAUUAAACCCAAAAUAUUUAAAAAAAAACCUUUAUGUUAUAAUUCCAGUUGAACUUUAAAUGUUUAUUUUCAUUAUCUUUAAGUCUAGUCAGAAUAUUUAUGUUAUAAUUGUGUUGGAUAUUUUAAAAUUUAAGAUUUCAAAUUUUUUUCAUUUUUUGAAAAAAAAACCGAAACCGAACAGAAAAAAACCGAAAAAAAAUUGAACCGAACCGAAAUUUCGGUUCGGUUUCAGUUUUGGCAAAAAACCGAACCGAUUUGAACCAAACUCACCCCUACUUCUAUGGGAUUGAUGACAAAGAAUAUGGAGAAUGCUCUUCUAUCUUCUUUUGGGUGAACAUUGAAUUGGUUUUCAUGCAAGUUAGACAUAUCUUAUUGUACUACGUAACGUUUCCAUUACUUUUUGUUGAAUUAAUGUCUACGAUUUAGGGUAUGUUUAUGAGAUGAAAUAAACAACUCUCCAUGAUAAUCUCAUACUUGACUAUUCAGGUAUAAGAUACCCAAAUACAUUUUUUUUUUCAUUCCUUAAUUGUUACUAAAUCAACUGUUGAGGCUCAAAAAAGUCAUAUGCAAGUCCAAUCAAGUCUCAAAACCCAAUUGUUAUACAAGGCUCAAGCCAAGCCCAAAAUACAUGCCAAGAUGUGGAAUCGAGAAGGGGUUAUAUCAGUAAUCAUGCCAUGCUACAUUAAUUAAGUCAUGCAUUUGUGUAAAUCACACCACAAUCAUGCAAGUCCAUGCAUAUUUAUCAUGUCAUGCCUUAUCACACUAAAGUAAGCCUAAGUUACAUGUCCAGGGCUUGUCAAGUGAAUUGUGGUGUGGAUGGUUACAGAAGUUUGUCGGACGUAUGUGGAGUCAAGAUUAUGGAAGACUUUGGGUUGCUUGGGAGCCCAAAGAUCCAAGCCCAUAACGUUUGUGGUCCACAUGGGCAAGUUUGAGAGAGAACCAGCCUAAUUUCCUUCUUUCCUCACCAAGGUAACCAACUUAGUUAGGAAGAAACCAAGACUUAACCCUAAAGUCAUUUGAAAGCCCAGUAAAGAGGCAUGUAAUGAAGGAAGAGGUUGAAUUUCCUUUCCUAACUCACACUGAAGAUCAACACCUGAAAGCUAAAAGACACGUUAUAGGAAGUAACGUCUGUAGAAGGCUGACCCAGGAAAGCCGCACCUUGAGAAGAAUGUCCACUGUAGGUUUCAUGAGAUCAACAGAGCCUAGCUUCCUUGCACCAAAAGGGAAAUGGCAGAAGAACAAGGGAAAAGAAGGAGGGAAGAUCAAACCACAAUUAGAGAUUCCUUAGGAAACCUAGAGGGGAAUCCUUCACCUACAAAAAGAGAGAUUAGAAGCCAAUAAGAGGGAUCCCAAUAACUCAACCAAAGAAGACAGAGGUUCACACGUUAGAGGGAAGAACACAGAACCAUCUUCCCACAACCUUACAGUUCUCCCCUAGACUUCUUUCAGCCCUUUCAGUUAGGGAAAACCUCUUUAGAACUCAGGAAGCCCGGAUUACCCAACCAAAAACUCCACGCAACCGUGCAAACUCUCUCUCUCUCUCUCUCUCAUGCUAAAUGGAUGACCUUCUAGCUUCCACACCAUACCUUACUUGAGCAAGCCAUUAUUUGCUUAAUCAUGCUAAUCUUCAAGUCAUUGAUCUAACCGCGAUAUUUGCUAAGACGAGCUAACUCUUUUGACAUAUUAUGGGACUUGGUACAAAACUGAACCAAGAGAGACAAGAGGACGUUCUCAAAACCCCAGUCCACCUUGACCUAAAAGUAACCCUAAAACCAACGAAUCGGAAUCAAGUCCAUUCAAAUGUUUGAUUUUUAAUAAACAUAAAAAUAAAAUGAUACUUAUUCCUUUCAAAUCCAUUUCUCCAUAUAAACAUGCCCUUAUAUAGGCAAAGAAUAAAAGGAGUACAUUCAAAGACGGCGGUAGCUAAGGCCAUUGGAGGCAGCUGCCCUCACUGAUGUUUUAUGUAGAGGGAAAAAAUCAAGAUGGCUACAGAACUUGAAUUUAUCAUAUUUAAGUAUUUUAACUAAUGAGUUGAAAUAUUCAAAUAAAUGUGUACUUGAAUUUGUUAUAUUUUAGUACUUUAAUUGAUUAGUUAAAAUAUUCAAAUAAUAUGUAUAUAUAAUAAGCUAUUAUUAGGAAAUAAUGUCUGCAAGUUGGUUUAAUGAAAUUUAAGAAGAAAAGAAAAGCAAUGAAAUUAUAGAAGAAAUUCGAAUUUCUUUGAGGUUAAGAGAUAGACCCCGCCAUACAAAGUUUUUAGCUCCCUCCUUAAGUACAUCAUGAUGUUUGAACACAUCUACCAUGAAUGUGACUUCACCAUUCGACCAGGUAAAAAGUGAAAAAAAAAAUUAAUUAGUUAAGUUAAAUCACUAACCACGGUGCUGCUUAUGUUUGAUUGCUUGGACGUAGCACGUGCUUGACUACUUGAACAUAGCACGUGCUUGACUGCUUGUAGAAAUUUAGAUCGAGUAAUAUAAUACUGGUACGGUUGUUUUCCGUUUUUGAUUUCUUAAUAAUUAUAAUUCUUAUUUUGAAAACGAAUACGAUAUUCAAGGUGAAACGGAUAAGUGCAAAGGAUAUGACACAUUUAUUUUGACCUUGAUAAAAUAUUUGUCUGGAGAUUUCAAUCCGGUCAAAUAAAAAAAGAGUAUCCCACAUCAAUCUAUUACAAGUUAUUGAGACAAAUCUCCAGUCAAGUUUGAUAACAAGUUAUUUAAAAUAUGGAACUUUAACGAAAAGCUUGCGGUAUUGUUCAUUUUAACGAAAAAGCACAUUUUUACAUUAAAAUCAAUCAUGAUAUUAUUCACUUUACCCUUUAUUUUGUCCUUAUCGUUAAACUCAAAAUUUUCAAAACCUUUUCGUUAGUUUUCCUUUUAAAAUAUAGUCUUUUACCCUUGCAAACAGGAAAGGGCAAAAUCACAUAGUUGUUAGUGAUUCUUUCAUUAAAUAAAUGAUAAAAUCACAAGUUGUGAGGCCAACAGGAUUCUUUCCAUAUUCUUUUUGUAAAAAUUCUGGAGAUUCGUGAAUCGUGUUCGUUUAUCGUAUAUGAUGAACGAAUAUGAUUCACGAAUUUCUAGAAUCCUCACAAAGAGAAUCCAGCGAAAAUCUAGAUUCUUGGUGUGGUAACUGAAAUGACUAACAAACUGAGCAAUUAAUACCACAUGAACGAGAUUAAAAUUUGAGUCAUAUGAGCCAAAUAUGUCAAAACCGAUGCAAGUAAUGCUGAUUCAUGCAGAGACCCUGUAAGUCUGCACAAAUAGGUUUGAUUGGCAGCAGAUCUUAGCCAACACACGUGAGCUGCAUCACAGUUUAUGUAAUUUGUGAUUAUACAUAAAUAGUGUUAUAGACCCGCCCCAAUAUAUACACACAUAUUUAUAGUUCAUUUUAAGUUUCACCUGCCGAAAAAUUACAAAAACAACUAAGAGCCUAUUUCGAUGAGGGAUUAAAAAGAGGAUUUGGGAUUGGAAUAGCCUAAAAGGGGUUUUGGAAGUUCUAAUAUUCAAAGGAGUGUGGAUUUCUCACACUCUUAUAAUUUUCAGUUGUCGAAUCGGAUAAAUUAAAGAGAUCAAAGAAACAAAGCAUGUGUGAGAAAUAAAAAGUGAUGUGUAGAUAGCACACCACAUUUUUAAACACCUUGUUUGGGUAAAAUUAAGGAGGGAUCUAGACGACUAACAUUAUACAACCUCUAACAUAUAUAACCACAUUAUUGCCAAAGGCGAAUUUAAAACACAUUAUUGCUAGCUUAUUGUGAGGUGUAACGCACUCCCCACCCAUUUAAUCUAGAUAAUAUUGUUUGUUAAAAAAAUGAAUAUCCCUAGAUACUAACUCAUAUACAUACUGUUGGAAUAUAUUAGUAUUUUAGGUAUUUUUUUUGUUUGAGUUUUCAUAUAAGUUUAGUUUGGGCCUAGCCUGUUAGCAUUAAGGUUAGAGUUAGUUUAUUAUAAAUAGAGUGCUUUGUUAUUCAUUAGAGAACAAGCUAUUCACAAUGUAGCAUCUUGGGUUAUAUAGCCGUCAUGGCAAUCUUUCGUUUACUUAAUAAAAUUAUAUUAGUUUAUAUUCAGUUUGUUCGUUUGUUCAUUGCGUACUCUGAUAUUCAAUUUGGUAUCAGAGCAGGUUAAAUCUUUCAAGAAUUAAUCUGUUUUGGGGUUGAUAUCGAUUUGUUUGUCUAUCUGUUUGUUCAGUAUCAGUUUUGUCUUUAGUUAGGGUUUUGUUGUUUGAAUAUGUUUGCUUGGGAGCCACUCAGCGUUGAACCUAGAACCGAAACCUGCACCAAAACCCAUUCCCCAUCCAGCCGCCUUCUACUCGCUUGAACUACCAGCACCACCUUGUGCAAAUUCCGCCACCACUUUCUACCCUGCCAUCUAAACCCACACUGAACCGAGCUCCGUUCAUUGCUGCACCAGCCUACACAGACCUAAGCGCACCACCAGUUCUCGGCAACAUGAACCUAGCACUCGCGGCGUAUUGUGUUGCAUAACACACCCCACCAGAAUCUGCACCAUUACCCUGUCUUCGCACCAUACCCGCUUCUCCUUCUAUACCUGACCAGAAUUUGCCACCGCUGCUGCACUCGUUCGUCUAGAAGAAAGGAAUAAGGAAAUAAGGAAACAGAAGCCAAAAAAAAUUUGAGAAGAAAAAAAAAAAUUGUUUGAGGUUUUGGCCCACACGGGCAAAGUGGAAAAAUGGGUUGUGGGCUGUUUGCCGCCCAUUUUUUGGUUGAUGUCUUUGAGGCCCACACGAGUUGUUGGCCUGUUUGGAAUUGUUUUGUUCGUUUGUUGGUACAAUUGAGAUAUGGAAAUCUCGUCCGUUUAGUAACAGGUGCGUUCCAUACUCUCAACUCUAGCCAGUUUGCCAGCCAGAAUCAAGAAUCAAGAAUCAAUUACUAUUUUGUUUGAGUUUUCUUAUAAGUUUAGUUUGAGCCUAACCUGUUAGCAUUAGAGUUAGGAUUAGUUUAUUAUAAAUAGAGUGUUUUGUUAUUCAUUAAAGAACAAGCUAUUCACAAUGUAGCCUCUUGGGUUAUAUAGCCGUCAUGGCAAUCACCUCUUUAACACAAAUUUUGACACAAUUUCUAAAUCAUUAGGUUAAAACGUCUUAAAAGUUUCUAUGCAAUGAAACCUCCAUAUGUUUUACCGAGAAAAUCUUAAAAGUUUCCAUGCAAUUGUAAUGCAGUCUAGCUAUGCUUACAUUUCUAGCCUCUAACGUGUUGAUCAUGUAGUUGCAAGUAUAUAUAUUCCACAUUGACAAAGUAAACCGCUAACCUACAAUUGAUAUUGAUGCUGGGGAGCCCUCCACUUAAUUGCAAAGGAAGGAAUAGGAAAACUUGCAAAAUAAAGAAAGUAAGAGAAGUGAUUUCUAAUUUUAUAUGUGUUGGUAAACACAUGAUCUGGUUAGGAAGCGAUUUCUCUACCUAUAUUUUAAAAACGUAGUGAAUCCAAGAAUCAUAAUUGUUCCAUGUCCAGUAAGUAGAUGUACCCCAAGACUCUGUAUUGUAUUUUGUUGACCAUAAUUAUAUUUUGCUGCUUGUAGUUAACUAAUUUGUUUUUGGGUCAAUGCACUUUAGUAUGUUUAUAUUUUUGAUAGUUGCACAAACCACCCCAUAAGCCUAUUAUAUACUUAAUUAACAUGGGUAUAAUAGGAUAAGUACAAUUACCCAACAAUAGGCAAAAGAAGAGAGUAAAUUUAGUGAGAUUUUAGGAAAUCAAGGAUGAAAGUGCUGGUAUUAGAGACUCAAACAAUUCUUUUUUAAAAAAAAUUAAGGGGAAAUAGAUACAUUUGAUUUGCAUAAGGGGUAAUGCUAGGGAGACUAAAUUUGGGGACUAAAUUAGCAAACUAAAUGAUGUGUUACUAAUAAGAAUGAGCACGUUUAUUUACGUUUAAGCAAUAAACCAAUAAUCAAUUUUCAUGUCUUUUAGUUUUCAAAAUUUAGUCUCCCUAACAUUACCCUUUGCAGAAAUGAUCAUUUUCAGUAACAACAUAUUGAUCACAUAUCGACGACAUAACGAUGAUAUAACCACAAUACAACAAUGAUAUAAUAACGACUGAUCAUUUUUGCAACAAAAUAACAAAUAUGUUUAUUGUAAUUAAUUGCCAAAAUUUAAUUAGCGUCAGAAUCCAGAUUAAGAGAUUUUGAGAUUAUUUAAGGGGUGUGCUAUCCACACACUCCAUUUUACUUCUCACACACCUCUUGAUAAUUUUUGUCCGUUAAUCUUCUUUAAUUCAUCCUAUCCGACGGCCGAAAAUUAAAAAGGUGUGUGAGAAAUAAAAUGAGGUGUGUGGAUAUCACAUCCCUUAUUUAAUAGAAGAAAAAUUGCUUAGAUUAAACCUUGUGUAAUAACAUUGUUGGAAAAUUACAAUAAAUAAUCUCUGUGAAUAUAUAAAAUACAACAAAUACAAUAAAUAAGAAAGAAGUCACCAAAAUGAUAGAGAUACGGCUUUGGUUGAGGCGUGGAGAAUCACUGUCUUUAAAGCCGAUGUUGCGCUCUCUCCCAAGUACCACGGUGCAAAAAGAUCUUUUGCGCGUUGACCUCCAAAAUUCAACAACCAAAGGACUUUGCUAGAUGUGAACUCGUAAUAACAAAAUUGAAGCAAAGCCAAAAGAAUAGUGCCCAACAAAAAAGAAGAAAACAAGAUUACAAUGAUUAACAAGUUAAAGAAUGAAAGUUCGGCUUUGUGUCCUAUUUUGUCUAAUAUAGCUUCGUUUCUUUUACCGCUAGUCUAAUAUUAUUCUUUUUUACUUGUAAGUGAAAAAAUCGUAAACUCAAAUUUUAUAAAUGACGAAUUUAUGACUAAUUUUAUUCCCACCAUACUUAAAAUCAUAUAUAGAUAGUUGUAUAUUUUUUUUUAUACCAAGUCAAAUUGAAUAUUUUUUCGUACAGUGCAAGUCAACUUUCCAUUUUUUGUUUUUUUUUUUGGCACAUAAGUCAACUUCCAUUUCACCUAACAUUUAAAUUUAUUAGUUAUGAGUGAAGCAUCUUUUUGAACCUUAUAAAUACAUCGUAUCACAAAUAAUGUUCCCUUAUAACCAAUCAUUCAUGUUUCCUUUGUUUCCUAGCUAUCUCUCUCAUCAUGCAAGAACCCGCAGAGUCCAGAAAAUGGGAGCGCAAAACAACCGCUGUGCUCAAAGCCUCAGCAGCCGAAAAAGUUUGGCCUCUCUUGGCUGAUUUCUGCAACUUACACAAAAUCUUCCCCAAACUAGCCACAUGUUACCAAGUCGAGGGAGUUUCCGGCCAACCGGGUCUGAUCCGGUACUGUGAAACUCCUCCUACCAAUCCCGCUGAUGAGUCGACCGUCAAGUGGGUCAAGGAGAAGCUACUGAUGAUUGAUCCAAUCAAAUGGUGCAUAAGCUAUGAGAUCAUUGAGAAUAACAUGGGGUUUCACUCUUACGUUGCUACCAUGCAAGUAGUGCCUACAAACGACAUUGAUCAGGAUGGUGUUUACGGGUGCAAGAUAGAUUGGUCUGUAGUUUGUGAUCCGGUCGAUGGAUGGAGAUCUGAAAAUCUUCAGGAGUUUCUUGAGUCUAAUCUUCAAUUGGUUGCAAAAACAAUGGAGCAUGCUCUUCUAUCUACUUAAAUAUACAUAGAUACAUAUAUAUAUAUAUAUAUAUAUAUAUUCAUGCUUUUUUUUAUCAGUCUUUUCAUGUUUAUGUAAUAUGUAAUAUGUCGAAUAAUUAAGGUUUUAAAAAACGCUCGCAACUAGUCGAGCGGUGGACAAGGGCCUAGCGCCCAAGCCGAUUUAUGUAAAUGUAUUAUAUAUCUUGUAAAUAAGUGUCUAUUUACACUUUAAAAAAAUUAUACUUGUAUGGAUAAUAAAAGAAUGAUAAAAUGCAAAAAUAGAAGUAGAAGAAUACACAAAGUACAUCCAUCCAACAAGUUCAAUAUUUAAAAAACAAUAAGCAUAUAAUCAUAAUGAUGAGUAUUCUUGGAUGAUAGACUAAAUUCUUCUUGUUCAUGAUCCUUGCAUUGGUUUGGAUGUAAACUAAACUAUUUAACGUUAUUGUAUCUAGUUUAUUUAUUUAUUUUUUUUUUGUAUGUAUCUCCUCAAAAGUUCUCCAAUUCAUUUCACAAUUGGAUGAACUUGUAGUCAAUCCAUCCUUUGCAAAUUAGGUACAUCAUUUCCAUAAAGUAUACCACCAUGAAACUAAAAAAUAAAAAAGCACACAAUUAAUAAAUAAAUAAAAAGAAAAAUCAAAUCCGCCUAGCUCCAGAUCAAUUUUUUGAAAUGAUUUUCCCUAAAUCCCGACGGGUCUUCACCGCCUAGGCCGAUUUUUAGAACACUGAAAAUAAUGACUUUGUACAGAAUAAAUAGUUAUGAUGUUUCUGAAACUAGCCAUCAUCAAAUUAGUAGUGUAAUAGUUUAAAUAUCAUAACCCCAUUUCAACUAAUAUCAAAAUCUUUUGUGAUAAAACCCCAUACAUGAAGGAUUGUGCGUGUGGUAUUUACCAAAUUGAGGACAGUAUCGGAGUUGAUGGAAGUGGACCUUCGACCCAUCUCUUUGAUUAUUCUAUAGACUUCACCAUUCUACAACCAUAUUCUUUGAUAUCGUUGCAUUAUUUUCCUAUCAAAUAUUAUUGUUGACUCAGUUUUUCUAUAUGCUGGUCAAUCAAAACACCCAUAUGUAUUGUAUAGUUGGAAAUACUUUUAAAAUAAUUAUAAGAGUUUCUUUAAAUUAUAAAAGUGCUUCUGAUGCUUUUUGAGAAAGCAUUUACAUUUUUAUUAAAAGUUUUGAUGUGCUUUUAAUGCAAACACUUAUGAACAAAAGUGUUUUUUAAAGAAGCCCUAAUUCCUUACAUUUAGUUAGAAAUAUUUACUCAAACAACACACAUAGGGUGUAAUCUAGUUACAAAGAAACUUUACACUUUUUCAAAUUACAUGCACCACUCUAACAGUGUGAAAAAAAAUUAAACAGUUUGAUAUGUUUUAAAUUUGGAUAACAUGGUUGAUAUUUUCGGAGUAUGAGGUAUAUUUAAAACACAUUUAUUUACUUUCCAUUCUUAUACAACUUCAAAAAUAAAUAAUCACUACAACAAAAUUGGCCACUAUGCACAAUAGAGGCCAAAAAGCACCAACAAUUGUGCUUAUAGACCAAUAGCAACAGUGUAGCUACUAUCUUUGUGUAUGUGCCCUUUAUGGGCGUCACCAUUGCUGAUAGCACACAAUAUGAUGUUUUGUGCUCAAAGAGGCAGGCACAAAUAGAUCACUAUUUGUGCCUCGUUUCUGACAACUUGUCAGACAACCUUUUCCAGACACGUUGGCACUUCAUAUUCUAAUUGUGCCAACACGAAUUAAAUAUUAAAAAAAAUUGAGGAAAUGAAAAUUUUUGAUUUUCUUAAAAUGAAAAGGCCUACAACACAUUCCCAAUCUCACAAACAUAAUGUAAUGUUACAUAUUUUAUCUCUAAUACAAUAAAACUUGAAAGCACAUAUUUUUGGACAGAUGCAUUUUCCCCAGCAAGCCUUGCACCUCAUCAGAAGCUAUAACAAAUAUAGUCGAAUUCAAAACAAAAUUAGUCCAAAAUAGGUAGGCCAGCUUGUCGGUGAUACUUAAAUCUUCAAAGCGUGGAAUGUCCAAAUAGGAAGGCUAGCUUGCUGGUACUUCCAAAUCUCUGGUAACAAGACGAACACACAAACAAAAGCCAGUACUAUUUAGUCUUUAGUAAGAAUAAUUAAAGAAAAAAGUGCAUCUUAUAUACAAUUCCAAGAAGACAUAGUAAAACUAUAAUGCAAAAUAGCAAACCCCUCAAGCCAUUUCUCCUUGCAGAGAUUGAUAAAAGCAUUUGUAUAUCUUCUAAAGAUACCAUCCAAUCGAUCCACCAAAAUAUCAAUAUCUUGUGGUUCAUGCAAUUAAACUAUGGGUAGGGCAAAAACAAGCUUUUAUGAUUUAGUUCUAUAAACUGAUUCAUACAGAUAAUGAAACCAAUAAUUCCUAAUACCAUUUGAAUUUGUCGGACGCCAAACAACCUUCAACCGCCACAGAUAACAUGGUAUUGACAUCCCUUGCUUUGACAGCCUCUAAAAAAUGACCAUGAGUAAGAAAUAUAUCAAGCAGUAAAAUACAUUAUCACAUUGGAUAUUACUGAAAAAAUGAACUAUAAAUUUAGACUACCAAGAAGCUCUUGAAAAUGAAGCUGACAUCAUUUACACAGAGCAACAAGAAUGAGUAUGUAAUGGCUUCCAAAUUUUUAAAUCAUGAUUCCUUUUCUUUACAUGAUCAGAUGCUAUAUAUCCUUCCUCCCACAAAUUAAUUGGUGUAAUUCUGCUAUGUAUACAUGCACUUGUUCGUGAUUGAAACAUAUAUGACUUUUGCCAGACACUUUAGUAACAUUUUUAAUUUCUUCAUGCAUGGCAAUCAAUCUUCACACAAAUUAACACAUGAAAAAAGCAAUCCACAGUCCCAAUAAUGCGACUCUACCUCUUUCGAAUGUAGAAUAAAAGAGACAACAACAAACAACAACAACAAAGCCUUUUCCCAUUAAGUGGGGUCAGCUAUAUGAAUCCUAGAACGCCAUUGCGCUCAGUUUUGUGUCAUGUCCUCCGUUAGAUCCAAGUACUCUAAGUCUUUUCUUAGGGUCUCUUCCAAAGUUUUCCUAGGUCUUCCUCUACCCCUUCGGCCCUGAACCUCUGUCCCGUAGUCACAUCUUCGAACCGGAGCGUCAGUAGGCCUUCUUUGCACAUGUCCAAACCACCGUAACCGAUUUUCUCUCCUCUUUCCUUCAAUUUCAGCUACUCCUACUUUACCUCGGAUAUCCUCAUUCCUAAUCUUAUCCUUUCUCGUGUGCCCACACAUCCAACGAAGCAUCCUCAUCUCCACUACACCUACGUGUUAAUGCUUCACCACCCAACAUUCUGUGCCAUACAGCAUCGCCGGCCUUAUUGCCGUCCUAUAAAAUUUUCCCUUGAGCUUCAGUGGCCUACGACGGUCACACAACACGCCGGAUGCACUCUUCCAUUUCAUCCAUCCAGCUUGUAUUCUAUGGGUGAGAUCUCCAUCAAAUUCUCCGUUCUUUUGCAAGAUAGAUCCUAGGUAGCGUAAACGGUCACUCUUUGGUAUUUCCUAAUCUCCGAUCCUCACCCCUAACUCAUUUUGACCUCCGUUUGCACUGAACUUGCACUCCAUAUAUUCUGUCUUUGAUCGGCUUAGGCGAAGACCUUUAGAUUCCAACACUUCUCUCCAAAGGUUAAGCUUCACGUUUACCCCUUCCUGCGUUUCAUCUAUCAACACUAUAUCGUUUACGAAAAACAUACACCAAAGAAUAUCAUCUUAAAUAUUAAGUUUGUGAUCUUCGCUAGAUUGCUCCGGUCAUUAGUGUGGAUAAGUAUGUAAAUGGAUAGAGACAGGAAGCAAACACAAGAUGUACGUGGUUCACCUAGAUUGGCUACGUCCACGGAGUAAAGGAGUUCUCAUUAAUUGUGAAGGGUUUACACAGUACAUAGGUUCAAGCUCUCCUUUAGUGAGUACAAGUGAAUGAUUUAGUACAAAUGACAUUAGAAAAUAUUAUGGGAGAAUGAUCUCGUAAUCACGAAACUUUUAAGUACCGAAGUGUGGUAUCGUCUUCACUUGCCUUAUCUGUCUCAUAGGUAGAUGUGGCAUCUUCUUUGGAAGUACUCUUCCUCCCUCCAGGGGUGGUAUCUUUAACUGGUGGAGAUGCACAAGGUAAUGUAUCAAUUUCACUUGACGCUUCCUUGUAGUUUCAGGCUUGGUCAAGCACGAUACAAACCAUGUAGUAGGAGUCUCCCAAGUUGCCGAGCUAGGGGAUAUGCUGAAAGAGGUGAUAGACAAGGUAAGCAAUCAGAGCUCCAAGCAAUCAGUCCCAGAUCAGAAGUUUGAUUUCGAGUUUUGGCUGAUUGUUAUCCUUCUCCUUAUCUUGCAGGCAGCAUGAAGGAUAAAGAGAAGAAAAUGAGAAAAUGUGAUAUGAGAUACUUUUGCUUUUGAAGAAGUAACUUUCCACAUGCUUAUUCUUGAACUGGGCUGGAGGGUUUUCUGGUUUCCGUCAGAGUAUAAGGCCGACUGAAGAAUUUGAGGGUCAAAACAAGUCCAUCAAAUCUAAAGUACGUUCGACCCUGCUGAUAUGGGAUACUUUUGCUGUUGACAAAGUAGUGGAUGUAUCGGCACGUGUUCUGUUGCGCUUGUCUCCACAUGCUUCCUUGUAUCCUUCUCACUUGCCCUAUUUGUUCCUCAGGCAGAUGUGGUAUCUUUUCGGGAAGCAUAAGAUGUUGAAGAUGAGUACUCGAGAGCAAUGCCAGGUAAGUAAUCAGGUAAGGGGUUUCAGGCAGUCAGUUCCGGACUGGAAGCUUGAUUCCAAGUGCUGACUGAUUGCUCUCUUUCUCCUUGUCUUGCAGGUAAGAACAAGGCCAAAGGAAAGGACAGGGAAAAAGCAUGAUAUGGGAUACUCUUGCUUUUAACCCUGAUGAUAUGAGAUAUUCUUGCUCUGGUGUAGCUUGUUUGCAGAGGUAUUCUCAGGGGGAAAGAAAGCUGAGUAUUUCGAGAGGCUUCGUUGGGAGUGCCCUGUCAAAUAUGAGGAAGGGUUGAGCAUUUUUGCAGGUCUGCAUGUCCGUUGAGGAUGGAGGUCGACAUAUAUAGGAGUCUCCCUAACAACAAGGAGUAAUGCUAUUCCUUUACCCUGCUUGGUCAUAGCACGGUAGUGGGAGCUGCCAGCUUCACGUGUUUUAACUCUGUCAGAGCACUUUGAAAAAGUGGUCUGUGGUAUCUGGAAAGCUGAUGUUACGUGUGAAGAUUAUAGACAAGCUUUAUCCAAAAAGAUCUGGCUCUCGAAGUUGAGAAAACGGUGUGAGGAUUACAGACAAGCUUUAUCUAAGGGGCUCUCGAAGUUGAGAAAGCGGUGCCUCUUCGAUUUUCGAACAAGCAAUCCUAUCGGGGAUCUGUCUCUCGAGAUUCGAAGAACGGUGCCUCUUCGAUGUUUGAGAAAGCAAUCCUGUUAGGAGUCUGGCUCUCGAGAUUAGGAGAGCGGUGUCUCGUCGCUUUUUGAGAAAGUAAUCAUGUUGGAAGUCUGGCUCUCAAGAUUCGGAGGGCGGUGCCUCUUCGAUCUUGAAGCAAGCAAUCUUGUUGGGAGUGUUUUCUCGAAUGUGAGUACAGGUUAGGCCUGUUUGCUAGUCUACCUUGCCACGGAGCACAGAGGUUGACAUACAGGGACUUUCCAAUUAUCCAACAGUGGUCCUGUUCCUUUACCCUUGUGGGUAAUAAUAUGGUAGCUAGACCUUCAAAAUUUAUGUGUCUAAACUUUGUUAGUGCUGUUUCUUUGCUAUUCUUUUACCCUUCUUGGUCAUAGCGAUGUAAUGGGAGCUGCAAGCUUCACGUGUCUAAACUUUGUCAGAGAUUUUUGGCAAAGUUAUCUGUGGUACCCGUGAGCUGAUGUUGCGUGUGGAAAGUGGAUGAUUGAACAGUAACAUUCACGUGCUUUCUACUUCACCAGAAAUCUUCGACAGAAUGCCCGUAAUUUCCGCAAAGUUGAGUGUACAUGUGACAGGUGCUGACAAGGCUGAAAAAGCAGGUGCCUCUUCAAUUUCUGAGAUUGGCCCUUAUGGUCUCUGAGUAGCCCAGCUUUUGAGAAAGCAAGCGCCUUUUCGAUUUCUGCGAUCGACCUUCGUGGUCUUUGAGCAGCCCAUCUUUUGAGAAAGCAAACGUCUCUUCAUUUCCUGAGAUCGGCAUUCGUGGUCUCUGAGCAGCCCAAGUUUUGAGAAAGCAAACGCCUUUUCGAUUUCUGAGCAGGCGCCUCUUCGAUUUCUGAAGCUCCAUCGAGUGCAGAUUUUUAUAGAGGCUGGUAUUAAGUUCCAAAGCACACUUGAAUCUCCACUAGUAGAAGCUCCCUUCUUUCAUUUCUAAGAUCUUGAUUUAUCCGACCUCUUCUCUCUUCAACACCUUUGAAAAUGUUUGGCCCUUCCGACUGACUUGAACCUUGUUGAAGAGGCAGCCACGCCUUCUCCAGACAACAUAUGGCGCCCAUCCUUCUUAUCCCCUACUGGUCCUCUUACCGUUGGGGAUUCCGUGAUGAAGAAUGAUAUGACCGCUGCGGUGAUGGCCAGGAACCUUCUCACUCCCAAAGAUAACAGACUACUUUCCAAACGGUCUGAUGAGUUGGCUGUUAAGGAUUCUCUGGCUCUCAGUGUUCAGUGUGCAGGUUCUGUGUCUAAUAUGGCCCAACGCCUAUUUGCUCGAACCCGCCAAGUUGAAUCAUUGGCGGCUGAAGUGAUGAGUCUCAAACAGGAGAUUAGAGGGCUCAAGCAUGAGAAUAAACAGUUGCACCGGCUCGCACAUGACUAUGCUACAAACAUGAAGAGGAAGCUUGACCAGAUGAAGGAAUCUGAUGGUCAGAUUUUACAUGAUCAUCAGAGGUUUGUGGGUUUGUUCCAAAGGCAUUUAUUGCCUUCGUCUUCUGGGGCUAUACCGUGUAAUGAAGCUCCAAAUGAUCAACCUCCGAUGCCUCCUCCUUCUAAGGUGCUGUCCAGUAUUGAGGCUCCGAAUGAUCCCCCUCCGGUGCCUUCUCUUUCUGGGGCUCUACCGACUGCUGAAGCUUCUCCUAAGCAACCUUUGUGAAGACUCCCUCUUGUUUGUUUAUUUUGACUCAUGUAUAUGUACAUAUUUGUAACUUAUUGGAGAUAUCAAUAAAUAAGCUUUGUUUCAUUUCAACGUAUUGUGUUAAAUACACCAAAGCCUUCUUCGCUAAGUUCUUUGAAUUUUUCUUUUGUUGAAGCUUUGUGAGUGGAGCAUGUAGGUUGAGGUAGUGUUCCCUUAAUUUCCCGAGUGGGGAAAACUUCUCGAUUGGAGACUUAAAAAAAUCCAAGUCACUGAGUGGGGUCGGCUAUAUGAAUCUUAGAACGCCAUUGUGCUCAAUCCUGUGUCAUGUCAUCCGUUAGAUCCAAGUACUCUAAGUCUUUUCUUAGAGUCUCUUCCAAAGUUUUCCUAGGUCUUCCUUUAUCCCUUCGGCAGUUGGUCUAGAGUUUAAUUGACAGAACACAUAAGUGUAAUGGAAAAAAAAUGCACAUCUUGUCAUGGGCAUCACAAUUAACUGUAAGACAUUGACUAAUUUUCACAUUCAAUGAUAAUGACGUUAUCCUAUAGUCAAAUUGAAACUUCCCCAAAAGAAACCUAAUGUAAAUUACCUAAAUCAGAGUCAGAUCUGAGCAAAAAAAAUUAGGGAAUAUCUUCUAUAGUCAAAUUGAAACUUCCCCAAAAGAAACCCAGUUAAAAACAGUCAAUAAAUGAAGAUUUACAUAAUUUAAUUAUCACAUAAACACCAGUCAGCGAUCAUGAAUUCGAAAGUAGAAAUACUAAAACAAAGUACUACUUAGAAACCAAAACACAUUAAAAUUGAAAAAUCUUAGAAAAAGAUUACUUGAUUUUACCAACGUGAUCUCCGAUUCAGGCUAUACAUCCACCGAUCUUCCCAAACUCGACACACCCCCUCCAUAUAAGUAUUCGUGCACAUAGAGAAAUUUCAUGUAAACAUACAAUGUGACGACCCGUCCCUGAUUUUACGUUUUUAUUAAUUUUUAAAAUGUGAAUUUACGAAAAUGCCCUAGGGACGAAGGCUUUGACUUCUGUUGACCAUUGGUUAGAGAGACGUAUGACUUAUUCUUGUAGCAUAUCCUCGUAGUACUCGUUGGUACGAACGCAUAGGAAAAAGCCAUUUGCGAGUCCGGAUUAGAACUGUAUAGUUACAGACAUUUGAAAUUGGUUACUUGUUAGGAUAAUUUUGAACUCCCACUAGGUGGGAAUAGUGGACCAAUUAAAUUAAAGGGACAAUGAACCAAUUAGAAGAGAGGGAGAGUGCAACAACCCAAUCAGAAAUCAGGAAAAGAAGAACAAAAGAAAGAAAGAAAGAAAAAAAAAAGCUCCCAGCUUUCCGUGCACCCACACCCACACCCAUUGCGACCACCCAUCUUCCAAGGCUAAUUCCAGCCAACUCCGGUGGAGUUUUUCGACGCCAGCACCACCAUCUUAAAUUUCUCAUUCCCCUCUACAAAACCCACCCAAGAACCACCUUUAGAAACCACCACAUGUGGCAGGGCAAAGCUAUGAAAUCAAACCCGUCAAAACCGUGUUCGGCCACUCUUUUCAAUUCUUCCGGCAAAUCGGCAAAGUGAUGGCUGAUGCCACCACUUAGGCUUUGUAUCCCAUCAUCCCAGGAGAAAAUCCCAACCAACCUUGACCCCGUUGGUCCAUCGUAGAUGACGAAUCAACGGCGGGAAAUUUUAGGCACCGCCGGCUUUGUGGGCAAAAUUGACCAUCUUCCGUCUACUUUUGGACUUCAUGGUAGGUAUGAAAUUUGUGCAUCUCUUUGAGAUCUUCAUUUCUAUAAAAUUUGAGAAUUUUAGAAAUAGUGGAAUUUUCUGACGAACUGUGGCGGCCAGCCACCACCGCCGCGGCACGUGCAGUAACGGCCUGGCCAGUGGGCUGACGAUGUCCUUUUGAGUUCAAUUAGAUGUUCUGAUGUCAUAAUUGAUAUCCAUAUGAUGUGGUUUGAUUGUUUGAACUUAGUUUCAUUACGAUACAUCACUUGACCUUUAUACGAAUAGAUGAUUCGUCUGUUCGAUCAUCACCAAACUUUGAUACAUAUUAGUACGUAAUAUUUGAGGAUCAUAAAAACUUACGGAUCGGGAAUCCGACGUACGGAUAUUCCCGAAUUAGAUUUGUAAGUUCAUAAAAUAAAAUGUUGACCGCCACAUGGUUUUUGGCAAUUGGUAGAGAUCCGACCGUUGGAUCGUAAUGAAAUUUAGGAUGUUGUUUUAGAAGCAUAAUGUGGAUCUUUGGAAGUAACGGAUCAAAAAUCCGUGAUCUGGAUCUUCCGGAUCAAAUCUUAGCUUGAUGGCAAAUAGAAUAUAUUUGUACUAUAUAUGAACACUUGGAAUUUACAGGUUACCCACUUGCACAUCACAUUCAUCAACUACCGUCAUGCAUUGCAAGACAACGAGGUGGAACCAGGCGCCCUAAACAAAAAUAAGACAACUAACUACUUCAAGUUUAAACCAGUAAAACGGAUGUGAAUCUUUUCAUAAGCUCUUCCAUAAACUUCCAGAAGCUACUUGUAACACUAGGAUGAAUUUAAGCAAAAAGAAAAUCCAAUCUUUGACAUGCAUACAAAAAAAAAAUCCAUACGUGGGUGGGUCUAAUUCUUCUCGGCCCAGGUUGGAAACAAACUUGAUUCACCUUCCUCGUCCCAAUCUUUGACAUGCACAUAGAAAAUUGAUUUAAAAUUCGAAAUCUAGAAUCGACCCCAAAACUAAAAGUUUUUAUUUUGGAAAACAACUUACAGUGGAAGACAGCCCACAAGGAGAGGAUCAUUUUUACCUCUUGGGUCGAGGUUCGAUUCCGACGGGUUUGGUAGAAAAUUUGUCGGAAAAUCACCAGCCAUCGCUUCUUAGAUCUGAAAUUGACGAAAUUCGGCUACGAAUUUGUAGAAACUAACUUGGGGGUUGGAAGGAGGACGUGAAGAGGAUUCUGGAGGUUUAAUUUGACGGUCGUUGGUGACCGGUGGAUGGCUUGCGUGAAAGAGGAGAGAGAGAGAGAGAGAGAGAGAGAGAGAGAGAGAGAGAGGACGAAGGGGGAAGGGAUGAGGGGGAAAUUGAGGGAAGAGAGAGGAGUUGGACGUUCGUGAAGGGAAGAGAGAUUUUUUAAGUUUUUCUUAUUUUUUUAUAAAUGUGUUUAACUUAUCCUAUCUAAAAUCUGAAGGCAAGCACAAUCCAAACCUCAUUUGGUUUCCUUGCUUGCCCCAUAAAAAUCCCAAAAGUAAAUAUGUAAGGACACAAAACUUACUUUUUAUUUAAAUAUAUUGAACUAAAGGGCACAAUAACCUUUGUCGUGUUUUUGCAAAUUAAUAAAAAAUUUACAAAUCUGACACAUGCAAGGCAGGAUGGACAUAAAGCGCUACUGACAAACAUAUUUUAUAGACACAAAAUCCUUUUUGUGCCCAUCUUAAGUAAAAAAGUACCCUACUCGGCACGGUUUUCGUGCUCAUUACUGUUUUGUAUCUUUUUUUUUUUUAACAUUGGGCACCAUAGAUGGUGCCCUCUAUUGAAUGUGAACUAUUUAAGCUUUUUUGUGGUUAAACUGACACAAAAUUUUCAAUUAUGCCCUUUUUUUUGUACCUAAAGCUCAUUUUUGUUGUAGUGAAUUAUAUAUUUUUAGUUAUCAGGUGAUUAAUUAAGAGUAUUUUGUUAUGAAUAAUUAUUCAGAAUUUUUUUACUGUUAAAUGUGAACUACCUGCCCACGUGCCACCGAUCAAGUACCAUAUAUACAUGAUAGAAAUACAAAAUAUGAGGUGGUUUUGGUAACCCAAUACCAACAGAAAUUACAAAAUACAAAUUUGUUCUUUAGCCAAACGAAUUUCAUUUACCCUAGCGAACACAUGAUGAAGAAUCUUUGAUGGUUGAGUGAGAAAAUCCUUAUAACUAAAUGUUGCAUUAAGCCAUGUUUCUCAUAAGUAACCGGUACAUGUUGUCCUUUAAGAUUGCAUGGUUAGAACACUAAUGCAUGUGAUAAUAAAUAUUACCAUAUUGAAACUCUAACCAGGUGAAGCUCCAGCAGCUAUGGUAUUCGUUGAACCGAGAAGAAGAAACACCAAGUCUUCUACAAACUCCUAGUCAAGAUUGGGUUCAGUUGAGUCCUGAAAUUGAUGAAAUUUUACAGGAUUAGAAUGAAUAAUUAUAAGAUUGGCGAAUGGUUCUUUUUCAAUGGACUAUAAUAUCCCUCAACGAAUGUCAACCUUGUCAAGGAUCCCAUCGCCAACUUAAGCCUUGCUCAGGAGUACCUACUUUGGCACCAACGCCUUGCUAUCCCUCAGAACCAGUGUCCACUUUGUUUCCAAACUUUUGUAAAAACUCACAUGAAUGUGAGACUUGUCAAUUGUCAAAAGCCACCGAACUUCUUUUUGUAUCAUCUAUUUAAGUCUAGAAUCAGUAAGCUAUUUGAGGUUGUUCACUCAUAUAUCUGGAUCACUUUCGUGUAUAAUCAUUUGAUGGAUACAAGUAUUAUGUCAUAUUUGUGGAUGAUUAUUAUAAAGUCACUUGGUUGUAUCUCUUGAAAUUUAAGAGUGAAUUGUUUGAUGUUUUCAAGGAUUGUUACAAUCAAUUUUCAUCUAAAAUAACACUAAGGUACCGUUUGGUACGUAGACAGGACAGGACGGGACGGAACGGAACGAAAUGGAGGUUCGUGUUAUGUUUGGUAUGCAUAGGAUGGAACGGUUCGGAUUUCAUAUUAAAUGACUAACUUAGCCUUGUUUGUACAAUUUCUACAGUGUCGUCGUUUUCCUUCAUUUUCUCGGCAACCAGUCAGACCCCCAAACAAUUACAAGAAGAAAAAAAAUUGACGAAUCAGACCCCCAAACAAUUUCUUUCUCUUCAAAUCAAACACAGAAAAAUCCCAAAAUUCAUUUCAAUCAAUUUCUGUAGCUUCGUCAUCGUCCUCCCUGCAGCGUCGUCAUCAUCCUCCGUGCAGCAUCCACCUUCUUCCCUCCGACCCACCAAACUGUUUCACUCUCUCUCUCCCCAACCUCCCUCUCCAAAUCGAGCGACUCCGUCCUAAUCCAAUGGUUCGGCAUCGAUUCGCCCUCCCGACUCGACUAGCUCGGCAUCUACUCGCCCCCUUCCUCCCACCACGACAACUUUAUAGGAUACAAGUUCCUCUCCUCCACCCCCACAUGGAAAUCUGGGUCGGGCUCCAUUUCCCUCCCUCUGGUCAAUCUUCGAUUCAACUACUCCUUCCAGAUUUUCCGCUGGAACGAGUCUGAGGUCGACCCCAACCACCUCGACCAGGACCACAACCCCCUCCCCGGCACCGCCCACCUGCUCGCCACCUCAGAUGACGAGUUUAGCUUCGAAUCGGGUCAUGUUCCGGAUCAGAUCCACCUCGCUUACACGGACGGAGAUGGCGAGAUGCGGGUUAUGUUCGUGAUGCCAGACGGCGCCGGAGAAGAAGAGGGUUUGCUAUGGUGACGUCGUCGUCGUCGGAUGGGUUUGCUGGGAUUGGGUUAGCAGUUGGGUUACUGGGUUUGUGGUGGAGGAAGAGGAGGGCUACGGGGGAGACAAGGGUAGAAGAGAGGGAGGUUACGGGAGAGAAAGGGAGGUAGACAAUGUAAUUAAUGAAAAAUAAAAGGGGUAUUGUUGUCCAAAAAAAUAUAAUUUUGUGUCCCACGGGAUGGAAAAACCCAUUCCAGGGGGGAGGGGGAACCAAAAUCUAACCCAUUUUCGUUCCAUGGGACGCGCGUUCCACAUAAUUUUAGAGCACCAAAUGUGGGACGGAACGCGUCAGUCCCAUCCCACGUACCAAACGCACCCUAAAGUCACACAAUGGCACUGAGUACACGACCAACAACAUGUCCGACUAUUUGAGCACUCAUGACAUUUUGCACCAAACUAGUUGUGUUGGUACCCCACAACAAAAUGGUGUAGCCAAGAGGAAAAAAAAAAGGCUUGCCGGAGAAAACAAGGUCCCUAAUGUUACAAAUGAAUGUACCCAAGAGGUUCUGGUCCUAAGCACUUACCACUACUACCUGUAGGUUGCCUACUCGUGUGUUAAAUGUCAAAUCACCUUAUGAAAGGGAGAACCAUGGACUUGUCUCAUCUCAGGAUCUUUGGAUGCACUUUCUAUGCACACAUUCAAGCUGCUCAUCCACUACUAGAAAUUUGGCUAUAAGCCACCCUUUUCAUUGGUGGCUAUUGUCAAGUGUUGCCACUCACAUUGGUGGCAAACCUCUAUGGCCACCAAGCACCCACUAAACUAGAGAGUGUGACCAAUGUAGAGGACUCUAUUGUAACAAUGGCUACCAAUAUUGCAUUGGUGGGUAUGUGAACAAUGCCACCCUAAUUCACAUUGGUGGCAAAUUUGCAAAAUAAUAUUAAAAAAAAAAAAGGAUGCCUUAGGGGCACCCAGAUUUGAAUAUAAUAUCUCUUUUUUUUUUUGGUGAGAAAACAAAUUGUAAUAUCAUUGAUAUUAAGAAUAUACUACAAAUCCGCAUAACUGAUCUUUUAUACAAUUUUGAACAAAUGUUGGGACUCAAACUUUGAAAAGUGUUUGAACACUCUGUUUCCAACGAGCUAAAUCAUGUCAAUAACUUGAAUCUGAUCAUUUGAUGCACCCAAAGUCAAAUCCACAAAUUUCAUAAGAAUAAUGUUAACUCAAGUUCAACCGUUAAAGCAAUUAGAGUUGAGGACAUGCAUCACUGAGAUAUGAUCAAAUAAAUACCUGGGAAAUGUAGUUUUUCAAGAGGUUUGCAGUCGUAAUAUCAGCCAUGAAGACUCUCACGUUACUGCUACUGUUGGUUGGAAGGCGCAAGUAACUUUGCCGACAAAAAUUUCUCACAAACCUGUGGAGAUACAAAAUUAAAAAAAAAAAUUGAGCACUAUCCACAGGUAACUAAUAACGAACUAACUAAAUUAAUCUAUGCUCAAAGUGCACAACUAUUAGUUCAGAAUAGUUCAAUUUUCUGCAAGGAAAGGAAAGGAAAGCAAGGUGAAUAACAAAGAGAAACUAAGAUUUGGAGUUAGCUUUAUGAAGAGAUUGCAUAUAACAUAAAAAUGAAAUAAGAUGAACCAAAACACAAUAAUUAAAAAUGGAUUUCAUGACAAUACUAACAGAGUAAUUAGAGAGUAGUAGCAAGCAAGGAUGAUAGAUGCCAUUACCAGAGCUCAAAACAGGGGACUCUAUUCUUAUCGUUGCCAUGAUCUCAAUCAACUUUCUCUAACCUAGAAACAUAAUAAAAACAGCAAAUCAACUUUCCUUAACCUUGAAGCAUAAUAUUUCAAGCAUAAGACAAACACUAAAAUCCCCAGAAAGUAAUAAAUAGCAUUCCAGUUUCUAGUCUCUGAACAUAGAGUACACCAAGAGCUCUCAGACAUUACAAAGUAAUCACACAUAUUAAAUAGUAUUCAAUGUAGAUGCAUACACAUCAUACAUGUAUGCAGCCCAGUUUAUAGACAAACAACAAAUAACUAUCACACUCACAAUUACAAAUAUCAAAUUGACCUCAAUAAUAUACGAUAACUAUUACGAGGAACACGUUCGAUUUAAUUUCCAAAGUUACACUUUAAAGCCCAAAACAUAUAAAUUUUUUUUUCCUUAUUUUUUUUCAUUUAUGUGUAUAAACAACCAACCAAAUUGUUUUACCUUAAAUCAUCAAGAGAAACCUAAGCAGCCGAGAAAAUAAUUCCAACCUGCAAGUUCAUACCAAACAAAAAAAAUUCUGGAAAAAAUAGACCAAAUAAUUAAAAUACCUACACAUGUAUAAAUUUAUCAGGUGAAUAAUUUCAACAAUUAUCCAGAAUAAAAAAAUUAAAAAAAAAAAAUGAAUUUUACCCAAACAGAG